rnacentral:lncRNA from 1 species
AGUUUAAUCUCUAAAAAAAUAAAAAGACCAAAAAUAUGCAUGAUGGAAAUGAUGAACAGUUGCUCUGUUUGCUUACUUACAAGUACCUAGCUUUUAUAUUAGAAUUCUUCCAGGAAUUACUAAAACUAAAAUUACUAUCUUUGGGAAGCAUAAAACUAAAGUCUAGGUAAGAGAAAGGCAUGAUAUAAAGUUGAGCUACUGUUUAUCUUGUUUCUACUACACUAAGUUCUGGAGAUUUAUUUUGAAAACUUACAAGUCACAUGAUGAGUUCCUAGCAUAACAAACUACCUACCACAGCCAUACUUGCUAUAACAUCUUUUACUAUAUUUACAUUGAGUUUGAUCGAGCUGUGUAGACCCUUAGGAGCUUUUCAUGUGGUUAAAUUAAGAUAUUCACUUGCACACAUCUACCACAGCAUUCAUCAUCAAUCAUUAAAUUUGCUAAAAAUAUUAUCACUCACUGUCCCGAAUAUUGUUAUUCUCUCUCUCUAAAAAGAUUCAAUGCAGAAGAGGAAUGGGUUAUGCAAAAAUAUAUACGAGGAAAUAAAAAGGGGCAAGUGCCCGGGAACCUCGAAAAAGAAAGAAAAAGAGUGAGACGAGAGGUAAAAAUGGACAAGUAUCCGAAGUAGAAUUAGGGGUACAAAAAUGCCCACUUCAGCGGAAAAAAUGGACAAGUGUCCGACAGUAGAAUUAGGGGUAUCUAUUACCCACCUGAAAAAAAAGAAGAAAGAAGAAAGAAAAAGAUAGCCCAUGUUCUCCCAAAGCAAAGAUCAAAAAUAAGAGGAGAGAUAGCAAUAUGAGGAGCAAUGAGAACUAAGAUUUAUUAACACUAUUGCAUUUUCACCAUCACUAUCAUUUACUCCACCACACAUGCACAUCUUGAUUUAAUUAUAUGCUGAGUUCCUUUGGAUCCAUGGCUCGAUUAGACAACAUAUGUAUGAGCUGUUUUCCACUCCUAUGAGCUCCACUUAAAUAUUCUAUUAGCUAUAGGUAAGUGACAUUAUGGUAAGGAUCCACAAAUACCACAUAUAGAGAGACUUGAGAGAUCAUUGCUGGGAACUCUGAGUUUUAUUUUGAAAACUUAUGAAAAACUAUAGAACAAAGGUGAAGUGUUGACAAGAGGGAUAGUGCUUGACUUAACUAUUUUGUCUUUUGAUUACUUAAGAUUUAAGUGCAGGUACUAAACUCCAUAACACUUCACUCUAAUCUGGAAGAAUUUUUAUGUAAAAGCAUGUGUGCCUGUCAGGAAAGAAAACAUCGAAGCAACUCCUGAUCCGUCUAAGUUUAGCUAUUUGCUCAGGGACGAGCAAAGGGUAAGCUUGGGGGAGUUUGUUGACGGUCCUUAAGUACUAAAAUUAAUAAUCAAAUAAACAUGAAAAAGGAUCAAUAUGAAACAAACAUCUAGAAUUAGGAUUUUAUCUGACAGAAUUCCACGAGCUUUGGUGUUUAUCUAUUUCUGCAGGGGUUUAUCAGAAAAUAUGGAGAGAAGGUCCACAUGUCAUGUUUACAACGAGAUAAUUACGUGUUGCGCAAUUUUCCUCAAUCUAGAAGGAUCCAGAAGCCACGGGAACGAACGGGACGCGAAUCGGGCUCGGGAGCUGGGCGGCCGCCCACCCCCCUUGGGCGCCCGCCCUGGCCAAGAGGCCAAUCAGGACUCUGCUUCGGGGCAAGACUCCACCGACCUAAAGGAUCAAUCUAAACCAUACAAUCUAUGUCGGUUUGAUCCAAUGGCUCACGUUCACUUGAGGGGACUAUAAAACCAGACCCCCUGGCCCCUGGAGGAGGAGAGGAGAAAUCAUUAUUCAGAGGUAGCCAUCAAAGUUAGGGUUUAGAUCUCUCUCCCACAGAGAAUUAGAAUUAGCUACUCCCUAAUCCUUCAAGUUUAGAGGUUGAUUAGAUAGCAAUUAGAGAAGUAGAACACUACGCUCUGGAUUCGGAUCUUCGGUAAUAAAGAUUGGUAUUAUUCAUAUCUUUCUCUAAUUCUAUUGUUCUAAUUGCAUUAUGUCUCUAAUUAUUAUGUUCUUAGUUUGCUCUAGUUCUAUAUUUGAUAUAGUUCUAAUUGAUAAUGAGUUUAUAUAUAAGUUUGCAAAGCGCUUAGCUCUUGUCGCGAGGGAGUUAAGUGAUAGAUCACAUGUGAGCGUGGUGCUUAGAUGUUAUUUAUCUGCAAAUGUAUCCUAUUGGCCGAGUCGUGUGGUAGUUCGCGAUAGUGACAGCUUCGUUGAUUCUUAUAUAGUCCACCCUCCGUUGAUAGGACAGGCAGAACCGGUAUUGUGGAGUAAGUCAUGCGAUGUUCUGAUUUACUUUAUCAAUGUUCCUUAUACAUGAAUGAAGAGUCUUUUAUGCUAUAUAUGAUCUUGUAGAUAACUAGAGUAGAUUAUGACUUAGUAGUUAGUAGAUAACUUAGAAUCCAUUCUCUAGCUAAUCCGACAUCACCUACAUAUAUGAGGAGUAGUCUAUUUUCUAAUCGCUGUGCUAUCUACCCAUGAACUUAUACUUUAUUAUCAUUAUCUUUAUGGUUUACCCCCUGCUAAAGUAAGUGACUGUGUGACGAGUUUCUCAUUAGUAAUCAUGUUCUUGCAAGUUUAUCUCUAGUCUAUGCCUUGAUAGAUUUUGUCCCUUGAUUUAAUUCCAUCUUCUUGAGAUCCCUAGAGCAAAAUUAUAAAUAACGAUACCUGGAAUACUUAUCCUGGUGAAAUGCUACAAUGAGGUGUUUUAUCUGUGCGCUUGUGGAUAGAAUAGAUUAUUUUCUAGAGAGCCUUUACAUUUAUAAAUACCUUUGUACACUCUGGCGCCAUGCUAGGGAUGACAACCUAGUAUCUAAGUGGUGUUAGUUAGUGUCAACACAUAGCAACAUGGCAAAGGAUGUUUUUAUGUGAAGUACUCCCCCAAGCUUGAAUUUUGCAAAAUUCAAGAUUGGAUGAAUUUAAUUCAAUGUUGCAUGAUGAUUGGUUGGACAUACUUUGUGCUUGUCAUUCCUCGGAUCUUCUUGCUCCAAUCCUAGAAGGGUUAGUGACAAGAAUACCCGAAGGAAUAUUUCUACAAUUAUCUUUAUAUGCUCAAUACACAAGGCAAUGUUGUAAAUAAUUAGAAGUUCAUGUUACGAUCUGAUAAGUGCUUGUCUUAGGACACUAAGCUUGUCCUUGGGAAACCAUCAAUCAACUAAACGAGAUCUGCAAUAUUUAUUAUAGACAUAUGCAUCGACAACCGCUCUUUUAAAGUUGUUAUAAAUAGAAAGGAAGAGAGGGUUGGAGAUCUCAAAUGUGGUAAGGAUGGAGAGACCAAUUGAUUGGGGAGAUGUUUUAUAUGAGCAAGGACUUGGUAAGGUAUUUAUGAAAUAACUUCCAUGCUCACUGUUGUUUCUCUCAUUCUCAAACUCCAAGGAUGAUUCUUCAUGAAUGCUUAAAAUUCCUCUAGGAUUGUCUCUCAAGUUUGUUUUAUCUAUCCAUUCAAUGGUGAUAGAACAUGGAUUUUUAAUGCCCUCUAGCCAUUGAUGUUGCUCUUCUCGAUCCUCCUUCUUAUGCAUGGGAUGUCUAGAGAGAUUCAUAGGAUUAUCGGGAGGUUCAGGAGAAAGAGCAUAGUAGAAAUUAUUAAACUCAAGGAUGGGUUGGAUAGCCGAAUUAUGGGAUUGAAAUGUUUGGAAAUUGGCUAUUGAAACUUCCUUUCCUCGUCUGGGAGAUGAUUCCUUCUCUAUCUCUAAGAUUUUUCUAUGAAGACUAGUGCAAGAAGGAUGUCUACAAAUGAAGACAUACCUUCCUUUACUAAUAGAUAAAGAAAGAAAGACUCUACCAAAGGUUAUAUGAUUAACACCAAUGUGAAAAUAUCGAGAAAAAACAUGGUCUUGUAAGGCUAGGUUUAAACUAGAAUUUAUAGAAAGAUUAACAGAUUCCCUAGGUGUAGCUAAAAGUGCAUUAUCUUCUUGAUUAAAAGAUAGGACCUCGGCUAUAGAAAAGGGUUGUUUUGAUCUAUUGCAAUCAACUCCGGACUCAGAUCAUAAUUAGGGGCAGGACUUGUUGACUCCCAUGGUCUAUGGCUGGUCUCCGAAGGUGCAAAGAAUUCAAUAAUAGGUAUGGAAUUUAAGUUAUCCAUAAAGAUAAAAAGAUAAAAGAAUAAAAGUAUAAAAGUAUAAUACAAGAUAAUAGCAAGACUCAAAGUUAUCUUAGCAAACCGUCUUUCUUCCCGGCAACGGCGCCAGAAAUGCUUGUUGAUAUUUGGUAACGCAAUCAGGAAAUGAUCCGCAAGCGCACGGAUAUCGGUGAGCAUUUCACCCGGGAGGUUUUCCAGAGUAUCGUAUUUAUAUUUUUACCACUGGGAGAAAGGGUGCAUCUAACAAACCAAAUCUAUUGCUACUAUCCCUUUAGGCUACAAAGAAUGUUUCUCGAUGUGAGUGAUGUAUAGAGAAGACUGCAACCGUAGUCUCAUUCUAACCUUGGUAAGGAUGAUCUACUGUUCUAUUGGGGAAGCUUACGGAAUCUAGACACCACAAAGGAUGUUCGACCCGCACCUAUAAACCCUACCCGUCCUGCUAACAAGAUAUGAGAUAUAAAGGUAACUCGGAAAUGUCACGUUCCUCGCUACUACCAUGGUCCAGCUAGUCACGGGAUAUCUAUGAGUACCCUAGCCUAAACACCACGUUUACGCUAUCAAUGAUUACUCUAAUACUCAACCGAAAGAGGAUUAAAGUAAACUCAUAAACCAAAGAACAAUAAAACAAGAACUUACUAGAAUUAGAAGUCGAAUUACUGAAGAAUCUUAGAAGCAAGCCUCGGGUUAGGAGACUUGAUCCCGCAGGUACAACUCGGAGUAGACACCGACAGGCCGGCCUUCCUCCAAUCUACACCUCCACUCUAUCUCUCUCAAUCUAGUAGAAACUAGAAGAUCUAUUUCUACUUACAUUGGUUGCUAAGCCUAAAAAGAAAUAUUAUUUAGAGAAGAGGUUUUCCUUCGAGGGCACCCCUCAACUCUAUGAUAACUUCUUGUCUUCUCCAGGGGCCAGGGGGGCCUCCUUAUAUAGUCCUCCUCCUCUAUGCGUUUUUGGGUCGGUAGGCGAUGUGGUACUACGUUAUCCUUGAUCCUUUAGGUCGGUGGAACGUCGUGUGCGAAAAGAGUCCCGAACGGAGUCCAGGUCUGGACGGGCGCCCUGGGAAGGAGGGCUGGCGCCCUGGGCCUGGCCCCUUUCGGCCUCUGCUUUCUUCCCGUGGCUUCUGGAGUCUUCUAAAUGGUAGAAAAUUGUGCGGUGCGUUGAUAUCUCUAUGUAAUCCUGACAUGUGGGCCUUUCUUCCGUAUUUCCUGAUAACCCCCUGCAGAAAUAGACAAACACCAAAACUCGUGAAAUUCUAUCAGAUAAAACCCUAAGUCUGGGUGUUGGUUGCAUUUGGAUCCUUUUCUUUAUUUAUUUGAUGAUUAUAUUUGGUACUUAAGGACCGUCAACAUAUGUCACAUUUGAGAAAGAUAAGUUAUGUAGUGCAUGUCAAGCCAGAAAGCAAGUUGGUAACACACAUCCUAAGAAGAGAUCAUGAGCACAUCUAAGGCAUUUGAGUUAUUGCACAUGGAUUUAUUUGGACCAACAACAUACACUAGUAUUGGUGGAAACAAAUAUGGCUUUGUGAUAGUGGAUGAUUUUACAAGAUAUACAUGGGUAUUCUUUCUUGUUGACAAGAGUGAUAUUUUUGCAACUUUCAAAUCAUUUGCCAAGAGAGUUCAUAAUGGGUUUAAAACAACCAUCAAGAGAGUGAGAAGUGACAAUGGUAGUGAGUUCAAAAAUACAAGAAUUGAUGAGUUAUGUAGUGAGUUUGGCAUUAGGCAUCAAUUCUCGGCCAAGUAUACUCCACAAUCAAAUGGCCUUGUUGAGAGGAAGAAUAGAACUUUGAUUGUUAUGGCAAGGUCUAUGCUUAGUGAAUACAAUGUUAGUCAUUCUUUUUGGGCCGAGGCAAUCAACAUAACUUACUACUAUAGCAACCACCUAUAUUGUCAUCCUAUGUUGGAGAAAACCCCAUAUGAGAUCUUGAAUGGUAGAAAACCAAAUAUUGCAUACUUUCGGGUUUUUGGUUGCAUAUGCUAUAUAUUGAAGAAAGGCACUAGAUUGAGCAAAUUCGAGAAGAAAUGUGAUGAAGGAUUUUUGCUUGGUUACUCCACUACUAGCAAGGCUUAUAGAGUUUGGAAUUUGGCUAAUGGUACUCUUGAGGAAGUUCAUGAUGUGGAAUUGAUGAAACAAAUAGUUCCCAAGAUGAAGAUGAGAAUUUAGAUGAUGUGAGAGGCACUCAAUUAGUCAAUGCCAUGAAGAACAUGGAUGUUGGUGAUAUAAGGCCCAGAGAGGUGAUUGAUGGUGAAGAUGACAAAAAUCAAGUGCUCUCUAACUCAAAUGUGCAAGCUAGUGGUUCUCAUGAUAUAUCUCAAGCUAGUACAUGUGGUGUUCAAGUGAAAGAUCAACAAGUGGCUAGUUCAUCAUCUCAACCAAAUGAUCAACCAAGUGCAAGCAAUCACGUUCAAAUAAUCUAACCAACCAACAUUGCAAGAGAUCAUCCAUUAGAUCAUAUUAUAGGUGAUAUAUCAAGAGGUGUGCAAACUAGAUCAAGAUUGACAUCAUUUUGUGAACAUUUCUCAUUUGUAUCAUCCAUUGAACCAAAAAAAUAGAAGAAGCUUUGAGGGAUGUUGAUUGGGUAAAUGCUAUGCAUGAAGAGCUAAACAAUUUUACUAGAAAUCAAGUAUGGGAGUUAGUAGAGAGGCCUAAGGAUCAUAAUGUGAUUGGAACCAAAUGGGUCUUUCAAAACAAGCAAGAUCAAGAUGGGAUAGUGAUAAGGAACAAAGCAAGAUUAGUAGCACAAGGAUACACACAAAUUGAAAGUCUUAACUUUGGUGAAACAUAUGCCCCGCUUGCUAGAUUGGAAGCAAUUAGAAUCUUGUUAUCCUAUGCUUGUGCUCACAAUAUCAAGCUAUAUCAAAUGGAUGUGAAGAGUGCAUUCUUAAAUGGAUAUAUAAAUGAGUUGGUUUAUGUUGAGCAACCUCCCAACCAUGUUUACAAGUUGAAGAAAGCUUUGUAUGGUUUGAAACAAGCACCUAGAGCAUGGUAUGAGAGGUUGUUGACGGUCGAUAAUGUCAACUUUUACUAUAACUUUAAACCUGAAGGAGAGCAUGAAUACACACUAGUAUAGGGUUUAAACUAACAAUUUUCACGAGUUUUGUAUAUUCUGUAUUUUCGAGGAUGAAUUUCAGGAAAGGAGAAAAAGAGGGACUCUAGUGCAAAACAAAGACGGAAACGUAUCCGCCAUGGGAAACAGCGCAAGAGGAUUUAGGAACACUCUAUAAGACACCCGACACGAGGGGGGAGCCACCGACCGCCAGGUGGGGCCGGUCGGCCCCACCCUAGCAUCGGCCGCCCCCCUGUUGCUAGGGUUCACUCCCCCUUCUGGAAACUUCCUCCACCGCCUUUGAGGAGUCAUCUGGGCCCUUGGUUAAGUUGGUUUGAUCCGACGGUGCACACGAAUUCCACCAGACUAUAAAUACGUGAGUAGACCCCCUGGAGAGAGGACCUCAUUAUUCAUCAAGGCCUCAAGCCAUCAAGCAUCAAGCGCCUUCAAGGUCAUCAAGAGCAUUCUAGUUCAUAGUUCUAGUUAGAUUAGAAGUAGAGGAGAUCUAGUUCUUCAUCGGGAUCUGGAGCCCCUGGCGUCGGUCUGGAGCGCAACAGUUUAGUAAUAGAUCUAGUUCUUACUUUAUAGUAUUCAAUUGUAUAUUAGGGAGACUUUAUUCUUAAUAGAUUCAUAUGUUCUUAAUUACAUUAGUCAUUGUCUACUUUGAUUAUAUGUCUAGGAUAGUUGGUUUGAUCUUAUUGAAUUCAUGUAAUUGCUCGUAUAGCGUUUACGUAAUCGAUCGUUGGGUAGAUGAUAGACAAUAUGUAGACGUGGUGUCUAGAUAUCUUGUUUGUCUGUGAGUGCCCUCUGACGUGCCGGGUCGUGUGGUAGUCCGCGUAGGUAAUAGCUGUGUUGGUUUCUCUAUAGUCCACCCUCCGUACGUAGGGCUAGCAUGGGCACGGUCGCAAAGGAGGUGACGGUUGCGUCUUAAAACCCUCAUUAGUUGAUGCCUCUUUACAUGUAAUUAUGAUAUAGGGUUGACUUAACAAUGAUUUCUAGAUGUUAUUUAUUGUUGUAGUUAUAGAAUUACCUUAGACUCAACUUCCUAGUUUAUCUAUUGGCAAACUAUUAUUAUGACUAGUAGAUGCUCUGAUGAUUAUCCUUAUUUAUGAUACUUGAUGAUUUUGGUAUCACUAUUAUUUAUCUAUAUUUAUCUUAUGACCUCUGCCUGUUAUGAGUAGAUAUUAUAGGACUUGGGUAAUAUUAUUCAUCCUAUAUAGUUUCUUAUCAAUAUAAUAGAUGUAGUUUAACCCUUAGCCUUCCCAGUGGUAUAAAUAUAAAUCGACAACCUAGAUACUUCCCUAGGUAAAAUGCUACAACGGUAUAAUUAUCUGUCCGCUUGCAGAAGCCAUUUAGUUUAUAAUUAUAUUCAUAAUUGUUAUUCUCGUCUUUACAGUGGAACAUGUGAAUCUAUAUUAAAUUCCUAGCAAUAUAAUUAGGGAUGACAACCUACUUUGUGCUUAGGAAUAUUUGAGUGGUUAGUUGCUAUUUGAUAAGUUAAUUAAAUAUCGUGCAUUUCUGGUGUUGUUAUUAGGAGUAGGGUUUAUCUCUAUUUUUACUGAUGACAGUAGUAAAUUUCAACAUAAGGGAUUUCCUACUCUCUAAAGGAUUUAUUAUGGGUAAGGUUGACACCACUCUCUUCACUAAAAAGAUAGGAAAGGACUUGUUUGUGUUGCAAAUCUAUGUUGAUAAUAUUAUAUUUGGAUCAACCAAUCAAGAAUUUUGUAAAUAAUUUGGAAAUGUGAUGGCAAAUGAGUUUGAGAUAUCCAUGAUUGGAGAGCUUAGUUACUUCCUUGGUCUUCAAAUCAAGCAAAUGAAGAAUGGCACAUUUGUGAGUCAAGGCAAGUGCAUCAAAGACAUGCUCAAGAAGUUUGGCAUGGAUGAUGCAAAGUCAAUUAGCACACUUAUGGGAACUAAUGGAAACUUGGAUAGUGAUGCUAGUGGCAACAUGGUGGCUCAAAAGUUGUAUCGAUCUAUGAUUGGAAGCAUAUGUUGAUAUUUGGGAACGCAAUAAGGAAUUGAUCCGCAAGCGCACGGAUAUCGGUGAGCACUUCACCCGGGAGGUUAUCCAGAGUAUCGUAUUUAUUUUUUUACCACUAGGAGAAAGAGUGCAUCUGACUAACCCGGUCUAUUACUACUAACCCUUUAGGCAACAAAGAAUGUUUCUCGAUGUGAGUGAUAAAUAGAGAAGACUACAACCGUAAUCUACUGUUCUAUUGGGGAGGCUAACAGAAUCUAGACACCACAAAGGAUGUUCAACCCACACCUAUAAACCCUAUCCUUCCUGCUAAUGAGAUAUGGUCUGCAAAGGUAACUCGGAAAUGUCACGUUCCUCGCUACUACCACGGUCUAGCUAGUCAGGGAAUAUCUAUGAGUAUCCUAGCUUAAACACCAUGUCUACACUAGAGAUGAUUACUCUAAACUCUACGCGAAGAGAUUAAAGUAAACUCAUAAACCAAAAGAACAAUAAAACAAGAACUUACUAGAAUUUAGAAGUCGAAAUACUGAAGAAUCCUAGGAGCAAGCCUCGGGUUAGGAGAACUUGAUCCCGCAGGUACAAGCUUGGGGUAGACACCGACAGGCCGGGCUUCCUUCAAUCUACACCUCCACUCUAUCUCUCUCCAUCUAGUAGAAACUAGAAGAUCUAUUUCUACUUACAUUGGUUGCUAAGCCUAAAAAGAAAUUUUAUUUAGAGAAGAGGUUUUCCUUCGAGGGCUCCCCUCAACUCUAUGAUAAACUUGUCUCCUCCAGGGGCCAGGGGGUCUGGUUUUAUAGUCCCCUCAAGUCAACGUGAGCCAUUGGAUCAAACCGACAUUGAUUGGACGGUUAUCCUUGAUCCUUUAGGUCGGUGGAGCGUCGUGUGCGAAAAGAGUCCCGAACGGAGUACAGAGGGGGGCGGGCGCCUAGGUCCUCAGGGCGGGCGCCCUGGGCCUGGCCCCUUUCGGCCUCUGCUUCGUUCUCGUGGCUUCUGGAGUCUUCUAGAUGGUAGAAAAUUGUGCGUUGCGUUGAUAUCGGGCCUUUCUUCCUUAUUUCCUGAUAACCCCCUGUAGAAAUAGAUAAACAACAAAACUCGUGGAAUUCUGUCAGAUCAAACCCUAAUUCUAGGUGUUGUUUGUAUAUUGGUCCUUUCUCUUGUUUAUUUGAUAAUUAAAAUUGAUACUUAAGAACCGUCAACAAAUACCCCCAUACUUAGGCUUUUACUCGUCCUCGAGAAAAGGAUGGUUAAGAACAAUAUCUGGGGUAAAACAUUUUCUUUAUAUUUGCAGGGUGUUAAAAUCCACUGUGUACUGUAGUCAGGGAAGUAUAUGGUUAAGAGUAGAGAUCCUUUCUUCUCAAUCCUGUCACUUGAAGUUUUUGUAUAUUUUUGAAAGAAAGUUAGCAUACCUUUUAUCCUCAUAGGUCUUCUCAGAUCACUCAUUAUCUUUUAUAUCACUGAUGCUGUUUUAAUUUGCAAAAAUUUUCAAGCAUACUUACCUUGUAUUGCCUGAUCAAAACGGGAUCCGAGGAGGGGAAUGUCAUACUCUUAGAUCAAAGACUUUGAAAAUUAAAAUCUUUGUCAACUCUUGCUGGCAUAUUGCUUAUUAGAGGGACCAUGGGCUAUCAUUUUCUUUUUCUUCUCUCUUUUUUUUAAAUGGAUACCGAGGUAUCCCUAAUUCUACUGCCGGACACUUGUCCAUUUUUUCUGCGAGGUUAUCGAGCACUUGCUCCUUUUUAUUUCCUCGAAAUAUCUUUAUUUUUGCAUAGCCCAUGCCUCUAAUGCAAUAAUACUUCGGAAGAGUGAAUCUUUCUGAAUAAAUGUCUUGAUCUUAGGAGCAUGAUAAAUCUCUCAACAAGGGUCUAACUCAUUUUGAACAAACUCAAUACAGAGUAGAUAACUUUUAUAAUCAUAAUUAAUAUUUUCAGUUUUAUCAGGCAUAUAAAACACUGAGGAUGGUAGCUAGAGUUUUGAAGAUUUUGAAAUAAAUUCUCCAAGUAACAAUGAUAUCAAGAAACUCAUACUCUACCAUCUCACAUUCCACACUAACUUAAGCAGCACAGGGUUUUAAAAUGAUUUUAUAAUAGUUGCAAGUUUUCAGGAAAUAUCACAGAGUGAGAUUAAUCAUAUUUAAAAGAAACAUUUUAAAUUUAUCAUGUCGGAAACAAUAUUCUGCAUAAUCCAAGAUAUGUGUAUCUGUAAAGUAAAGUGCGCAGAGUAUGUACCUGAAUCGUGGAGUGGUGUAGUCGAAGUAUGUUUGGCGUGUUGAGGGAUCUCCCCCAUACUUGUUUUCUGCUUUCUUGCACAAAAAAAAUAAAGUAGAGACACACAAGACAUAAUAAUAAUAAUACUCUUUAUUAACCUUGAGGCAUUUAUUACAAAUAACUAGUAGCAAACUGACGACAGUAGUAACAAACUGAUGAUAAUAGCAAACCUAAACCGAAUUUAAAGAUAGAUAACUAAGAUGCAUUGCCUCAAGGUCUAAUCUAGAUAACUUAGCGGCGCUCUAAUUCCUUAAUCUUCUUGUUGGCACUGGCAAGAUCCUGCCUGAGGCCUAGUAUAAUGGUGUUGUGGUUAGAGAGCUGCCUAGUGAGGGAAUUAAUCGAGGACUGGAGGUCUAUGAUAACUCUGUCUAGCCUGCAAACGUCCUCAUCAAUGUCUACUAUAGUCUUGCGACACUUGGGAGGUGUCUCAAAAGCAUUGAGAGCGUGCUUCGGGGCUGCCUUUGGAGGGAUGAAACAGACUUUGGCUGCUCUAAUCCCUUCGAAAUAAGGUCUUUCCUCCUCCAUAGUGUAGCGUAUGCUGCUGAUCUCACCGCUCCGGUUGGUCUUGACUCCAACGACCCUCUCAUUGAGUCUAGGUGGAAGGUUCCUCGUGCCGGUUGGCACCUUGAUGGUGAUCUUCUUCUUGGAUGAUGAUCCUUUGAGGAGUAGGAGUUGUGGUGGCGCGGUGAGAACUGGUUGAGCAUGGUAGGAUUGGGCGGAGCUGCCUUGGCGUAAUGGCAUGGCUUCUAGCUGUCGCUCUGUGUUGGCCGGGACGAGAGCACGGGCGUCGGGGUCUUCCACAGGCUCCAUGUUGAGGUUGAAGGGCACGACUUCCCAAUCAUCGUGGAACUUCUCGGCCAUUGGAGCAGCAAGGAACUAAUCAAGCUCUAAUUGAAGAAGAAGAGAAGGCUUGGUGGUUUGGUGUUUGAAAACUGAUGUCAGGGGUCUCUUUAUAUAGGGGUCAAAAAGUGCCGCUAGGGGUUGUUCGGGUUGCUCCCAUCGAUGUGUGUGCGAAACUUUCCAUCUGAGGGAUUAUUCGGAUUACCAUAAGUGCAUUUUUCAUAACAGAGAAAAUCGGGACCGAGGGGGAACAGGAGCUGGGCGCCCGCCCACCUGUAACACCCCAAAUUUUGCAAUUUUCCAAAAUAGGAUGAAUUGUUAAUUUGUGUAUUUUUGUGCCCAUGAAAUAUAGGAAAAAUAAUAUUUUUAUUUCAAUUAAAAUUUACUAUAGGAGUUAGCAACUUGUUUGAGCAUGCAUGCCUAUGCAUUUGAUUUAUUUUGAUGAGUGGGUUUGACUAAACCUUAAAAAAAAGAAUUCAAAUUUGGUUUUGAAAUGUGUUUUGUUUUAAAAGAAAAGGGAAACAGAAAAUAGAAAGGAAAAGAAUUUAUCUCUCUCUCACUGCUCUUGGGCUCGGCCCAUUCUUUUUUUUCCCCCACGGCCUGCUUUCCCCUUCCCCCUUUCUCCUCUUUGCUCCGGCCCAGCGCCAGCUCGGCCCGCCUCACGGCCCAGGAGGACUACCAGCGCCGCGCACCUCCUCUCCCUUCGCCGCAGCGGAUGACAGGCCGACCCCGCGCUUCCGUGUCACCGACAGGUGGGGCCCAGUGGUCAGGGUUGUCUCCCACCUUGAGUCCGAGCCGGACACGACCGAGCGCAACCAAAUCGCGCGCAUUUCGCGCGAGCAGUCCCUUCUCCGCCUGCCUCUCCCCCUUUAUAUACUCGCCCCGAUGCCCGCAACCCUCUAUCUUCGCCCGAGCACCAGCCGCCGCGUUCAAGCUCGCUAAAUCGCUGCCGAGAUCCACGUCGCAGCCAAUCCGCCAUUGUAGCGCGUCCCAAGCCUUGUGAGCGACUUGCCGGCCUUCUUCUCCGUCGUGCGAAGUCGCCGGAACCUUCCUUUCAUGCUCUACUGCUUCGUGUUUGUCGCUAAUGUUCGCCGAACCUUGUUCCAGGGUCGCCGUCCGCCGUUUGCCGUCGCGAGCUCGAGUCGGGCGUCCUCGGCUCCAAUCUUGGCCACCGGUGAGUUCGCGCCGAGUUUAUAAACGCUCCCGCACUUUUGGUUCACGUUCUAGCGCUCCAGGUCGCUCGAUUGAGCAACUCCGGCCAUGCGCAGCCAUGGCGCCGCCGCGGCCGACCUCAACUCCGGCGGCCGCUCCCCUCUCAUCCCCCCCGAUCUAAUCUCAACCAUCCAAAUGCGAUCCAACGGUCUAUAUCAAAGCAUACCCCUUCGGCCGAUAAUUUUUCAGAAAACCCCCCGUGCUUUUUAAAGAGUUAACCCGCAGUCCAAGCGCCUUUUUCAAAAUACGUUUUCUCAAUUGGAUUACGUAUAUCCGAUCGGUUGAAUUCAAAAUACGUUUUCAGGAAAUUACAAGUUUGCCACUGGAUUUGUUUUAUUCUUAAAAUAUUCAUCUUAAUUCCGUUUUGACUCGUUCAAAUUGCGUUGGUUUUGUAUUCAAAAGAUCUACAUGUUAGUAACACUGUUAUCUUAGUUUGAAAGUUUUUAAUUCCGUGACUCAAAUUAAUUAAUUGUUUUUCUAAAGAAAAUCUUAGAAAAUUCAUAUAUUCUUCGUUUUGACUCCGAUUUAAUCCGUUCAAGUUGCGUUAGACUCGUUUUCGCGUAAACUAUAGUCUCGUGCUACUGUAGUACAAGUUUUCAACUUUUUAAAUCUGAGUUUAGAUUUAAUCUAUUAUUUUAUUAAAGAAAAUCUUAGGAAAAUCAUAACUUCUUCGUUAUAGCUUCGAUUUUCGUGAUCUUUACAUCUGUGUGAUCGUAGAGCGAUGUAGAUUUGUUUUAUAAACUUUUUAUCUUUAUUUUCUACUGUUGGUGUAUUGUUCUAAUUAUAGGUUUGUUUUGCUUUGUAUGAUUGCCUCUCGAUGAUUGUUGUUGACGUGAUGACUGAGUUUAGUCAGUGAGCUUUUACGUGGUGAUCAAGAAGCAGUUUGUGGAAGGUUUGGAACUAAAAGAAGGAUCUGAGUUUCAAGGCAAGUAUAGCAUGGGAUCAUCCUUGUUUCCUAAUAACUUUAAUCACACAAUUCAUAUUGCAUGUUUCUCCUUGCUAAGGAUUUCCUAGAAUUGAUCUUAUACCUUGUCACCUAUGGUUUUGCAUUGGGUAGCUUAUGCUAGUGCUCCACUAAACCAUGAUCUUGUAAUUUGACUAAUAGAAUAUGCAAUAAACAUUAAAAGAUGACUUUUUAGCAACGUUGGAAAAAGAGGGCUGGAGCAUUGGGCUAUCUUAUGGUGCUCUAGUUUCUCUCCAUAAGGACUUAUCUGUAUCUGACCAUCCGGGACAUACAGUACAACUGUGAGGGCUACAUGGCUCUGGCUUUAGCUCAGUAUGAGGACCUUUUCUAGCUUGUUAGUGGUUACCCUUGUGGCGCAAGUGGGGGAUAGCAGACCGUGGAUUCCUGCGGGUGAGUCACACGGACUGACUAACGAAACCUAGCGGCCCUAACUUGUUAGACGAACCUUUGAAAGGCUUCAUAGUGAACCCUGCCGGCCUCCCUAGGAAGGGUGUUAAGAGACUCGCGACCUCGGGCGAAAGGGUAAAUCAUGACUCACAGUGAAAGUGUACAACCUCUGCAGAGUGUAAAACUGAUAUAUCAGCCGUGCUCACGGUCACGAGCGGCCUUGGACCAAUACAGAAUAAAUGAUAACGAAUGGCAAAUUAUUAAAGUUGUUGUUGUUAAUAAAUUGUUUAUGCUAUUCUUUAUUCACUUUACUUGAUCAUGAGUUUACUUUGGGAUUUGACAACUUGAUGCUACUCAUAUGCUAAAAUUGUGACAACUAAAAGCUACAUGCAGUUCAACCAGUGUCUAGCCUUUGAGCCUCAUGAACCCCAUGUUAUUCUUGCUGAGUACGAGAUGUACUUACGCUUGCCUUUACAUUUUAUUUGGAUAAAAAUCCCGGAUGGGUACCAGAUUGCAAGCUUGGAAAAGAGUUUAGGCUUGUGCUCAACCAGUCAGUUGUCCCUGUGGAUUUCGAGCUUUCGCCUGAAGAACGGAGUGUCUUUCCGCUAUUUGCUAUCUAAGGUUAUGUCUUUUAUAUUAAGUUCGUUAUAUAUAAGCAUUGUCUAUUGAUAUUACCCCUAUUUGUGGCUAUAUGUGAGAUUUGACUUCCUGGGCUCACAUAUGGUGUGUAUCUGGUUUUGUUCUUAAAACCGGGUGCUACACCACCUGAUCUGGGCGCCCGCCCUCUCUCUGGCCCCUCUGUGGGCCCUCUUUCUCGAGCGCGUUUCUAGAUGCAAAAAUAUUUAGGAAAAUAUAUGUAUGACCCGAAAGCGUCAGACUAAAAAGGUCGGGCUCUAAUUCUCCAUGGGAAGGUAAAAAUGGACUACGUCUAUUUCUUCUAAUUCUUUAAUUGGGCUCUAAAAAUAAUUUAAGACGUUGACCAUUUACCUUGAAUAACGUACCUUCGUCAUUUUGAAGUGUGAUAGCUUCGUGGGAUGAUGAAUUGAUUACCUUGAAUGGUCCUUCCCAUUUGCUCCGGAGUUUUCCAUGCCCGAAAAGCUUCACCCUGGAAUUAAAAAGUAAUACCUUAUCUCCGGGUGUGAACUCCUUCUUCUUGAUUCUCUUGUCAUGCCACCUUUUGACUCUUUCUUUGUAGAUCUUCGAAUUGUGAUAUGCUUUCUCUCGCCAUACUUCCAAUUCUGAUAGUUGCAUUCUUCUAUGAUCUCCAGCGACAUCUAGGUCCAUAUUCCAUCUCUUUAUGGCCCAGUGUGCUUUGAACUCUAGUUCAACAGGUAGGUGGUAAGUCUUCCCGUACACCAAUUGGUAUGGAGACAUUCCAAUUGGGGUCUUGUAUGCUGUCCGGUAUGCCCAGAGUGCAUCGGGUAACUUGUCUUUCCAUGCUGUUCCCAUUUCAUUUACUGUUGAAGAAUAUUUUUGAUUUGUUUGUUGGAAGUCUCUGCUUGGCCACUUGUCUGAGGAUGAUAGGGGGUAGCGACGUUGUGACGGAUUCCAUGUUUUGAUAGAUAUUGCUUGAAGCUUUUAUCGAUGAAGUGUGCUCCUCCAUCACUUAUCACUACUCUGGGGACUCCAAAUCUUGGAAAUAUAAUUUCUUCAAACAUCCUCUUUGAACUGAUGUUGUCGGCAUGCUUGCAAGGUAAUGCCUCUACCCACUUGGAGACGUAGUCAACUGCCACCAAGAUGUACUCACACUUCUUUGAUGGGGGAAAUAGACCCAUAUAGUCUAUUCCCCAGACAUCAAAGAGCUCAAUCUGAAGGUUGUUGGUGAGUGGCAUUGCAUCCCUUGUAUUUAUGUUUCCGUGCCUUUGACAUGGCCCACAUCUUCUGAUAUAUUGCUUCGUGUCUUCAUACAUUGUAGGCCAGUAGAAUCCACACUGCCAGAUCUUUGAAUGUGUACGGAAUGCUCCAUAAUGACCUCCAUAUGGUGAGGAAUGACAUCUGUCGAUGAUCUUCCAUCCUUCCUCAGUGGUCACACAUCUCCUGAGUAAGCCAUCAGAGCAUACUCGAAAGAGGUAUGGCUCAUCCCAUAUAUGUGAACGACUUUCUUGAAUAAGCUUCUUCUUGUUUGCUCCUGGUGGUACAUACCCUGAAACCAUAAAAUUAACAAUAUCUGCAUACCAGGGGUCAGACCUGUUAAUCCCGUAGAGCAUGUCGUCCCGGAUUGAAUCAUUGAUGGGGGUUUCCUGUGGACUCUUAAAAUACAUUCUAGACAAGUGAUCAACAACAGAAUUUUCUACUCCCUUUUUAUCUUUUAUUUCUAAGUCAAAUUCUUGGAGUAAUAAGAUCCAUCUAAUCAGGCGAGGUUUAGCAUCUUUUUUAGUGAGCAAAUAUUUUAGUGCAGCAUGAUCAGUGUAAACAAUUAUUUUAGCUCCAACUAAAUAAGAUCUAAAUUUAUCAAUGGCAAAGACAACAGCCAGAAGCUCUUUUUCAGUGGUUGCAUAAUUAAGUUGAGCUCCUGUCAAAGUUUUACUGGCAUAAGCAAUUGCAUGAUGCUUCUUAUUUUUAGUUUGUCCCAAUAAUGCCCCCACAGCAUAAUCACUAGCAUCACACAUAAUUUCAAAAGGCAAUGACCAAUCAGGGGGUUGAAUGAUUGGUGCAGAGAUGAGUGCUUUCUUUAAUAAAUUAAAAGGUGUUAGACAUGCACCAUCAAAUUCGAAAGGAGCAUCCUUGGCGAGCAAAAGAGUAAGUGGUCUAGAAAUAAAUGAAAAAUCUUUUAUGAAUCUACGAUAAAAACCAGCAUGGCCAAGAAAGCUUCAAAUUCCUUUUAUGUUCACAGGUGGAGGUAGUUGUUCAAUUACUUCAAUUUUAGCUUUGUCUACCUCAAUACCUCUUUCCGACACUAGGUGUCCCAGCACUAUUCCUUCCCUAACCAUAAAAUGACAUUUUUCCCAAUUAAGGACUAAGUGCUUUUCUUCACAUCUUUGCAAAACCUUGUCUAAGUUUUCAAGAUAACUAUCAAAAGUUUUUCCAUAAACAGAGAAAUCAUUCAUGAAAACUUCCAUAAUCUCUUCAAUCAUAUCAGAAAAUAUAGACAUCAUGCAUCUUUGAAAAGAAGCUGGUGCAUUACAUAACCCAAAAGACAUUCUACGGUAAGCAUAAGUUCCAUAUGGGCAUGUAAAAGUGGUUUUGCUUUGAUCAUUGGGAUGGAUCGGGAUUUGGCGAUACCCUGAAUAUCCAUCUUAGAAAUAGAAGAACGAAUGGUUUGCUAACCGCUCUAGCAUCUCAUCUAUGAAAGGUAAAGGAAAAUGAUCCUUUCUCGUGGCUUUGUUUAGUUUUCUAUAGUCUAUGCACAUCCGCCAUCCUGUGACGGUGCGUUGCAGAAUUAGCUCGUUCUUUUCAUUCAUAAUAACAGUCAUGCCUCUCUUUUUGGGCACAACUUGAACUGGGCUUACCCACUCACUGUGCGGCACAGGAUAUAUAAUCCCUACAUGCAGCAACUUUAUAACUUCCUUUUUAACUACCUCUCUUAUAGUGUUGUUAAGUCUACGUUGGGGUUCUCGAGAAGGUGAAACAGAAGGAUCUAUUGGAAUACGAUGGGUACAAAUCGUAGGACUGAUUCCCGAAAACUGAGUGAUGUUUCUCAAGAAUGGUCAUCAAUCGCAGAGUUUGCUCCUGAGUGAGUUUAUUGCUAAUGAUCACAGGAAACUCUGGAUUAUUGUUUAGGAAAGCAUAGAUAAGACCGGGUGGUAAAGUUUUAUGCUCUAUGAGGGGUCUAGGUGUUUCUGCAAACUCAUCUAAGGGUUCAGGUUUAGAAGGUUCGGCUUCUUCUUCUAUGAAGAAAGGAGUUUCGUCUUCUAAGUCUGAUUCUUCUAAAAGCUCAAGAGAUGCAGCCUUUACCUCCUCCAUAGGAUCAGGCAAAAGAUAUGACUCGGCCUUAUUGUUUAAGGAGUGCGAAAUUGUUAUUGGGAAUUUAAAGGCUUUUCCAAAAGAAAUGUGUAGCUUUCCAUUAUGACCUUCAUAAAGGAGUCUUCUAAAAGGUUGUCCUAUCAACAGGUCGAAGUCCCAUGUAUCAAAGAUAUAGAAGUUCAAAUGAACCAUGGAGCCUUCUACCGUAAGAGGUAGGACAUUAAUAAUUCCAAGACUGGGGACUAAUCGUCCUGAAGAUUCCUUUAUGACUUUUGUUGUGGGGGUUAAGACAAGAUUUUUAAAUAGUUUAAGUGCAAAAGAUUUAGACAUGAUGUUGAUCCCCACAACAGGAUUAUAAAGAGCAUUAAAUCGAUCAGAAUUAUAAGCACAGCGUAUAGUUAUAGAGGGUGUGUCCAAACGGAUCACAUCAGAAGAAAGCUCUGAUUCCUCCAACCACUCGCUACUCAUGACUGAGAUAAGCUCUCUCAAUUGAUAUUCACUUGGCAAAUAAAUGCUAAUCUGGCCAUUUUGGGGUUUAUCAAUAGAAUGGUAGUUUGAAAUGUUUCCAAAAUUGGCAAAAAGAUCGGAUUCUAUAUCCAGCAUAAAGUCCAGUGGUGGAAUUUCUUCCUCUUGUGGCUCAGAACUUGGGAUAGCUAAAGUAGAUGAAGAAUUUGACAGAGUGUCUACUUCGGCUUCGUAGGUUUCAUCAUGAAGGGUAUUAUCCAUCUCAGCUUCUAGGAUUCUAUCUAGGAUCACUCUAGCUUCAUCAGUAGGGAUGCGAAAGAAAGAACCUCUAGACAUUGUGUGUAGCAUUUGUUUGUGAUUUUUUUGAAGACCUCGAAAAAAGUGAAAUAAAAGAACAGGGUCUUCAAGAUUAAGGUUUGGACCAGAUUCUAAAAGAUCAGAAAAACGUUUCUAGGAUUUUCCCAAAGUUUCAUUAUCUUUUUGUUUAAAAGAUAGGACUUCGAGUCUAAGGUCGCCGAUACGGUCGAGGGAAUAAAAAUCUAGACAAAAGUUGGCUCGUAAAACUCCCCAUUCACCUCGUUGUUGACUUACCUUCUGACUGUACCAUUGUCUAGCUUCUCCCCUUAAGGAAAAAGUAAAAAGCUUCCAACGUAAAGUUUUAUCAGAAAUGCCUUCAAUGCGAAGACAAUCACAUGUUUGCUCAAAAUCUCUAAUAUGAAAGUAAGGGUUUUCGUCUUCCUUUCCCAAAAAAGAUAGGUUUUGAAUCAUAGCAAUCAACCUAGAACUUAACCUUUACUGGGAUGUUUGGAUAGGCUGUGAUGACUCCCAUGGUAAAAGGUCAGUUACUGAAGGGAUUGCAGAUUCAUGGAUCGAUUUAGAAUUUUGGUUUUCCAUAAGGUAAGAAUAAAGAAAAUAAGCAAAGAAUAUAAAAGAUAAGAAAAUAUAAAAGUAUAGAUACAAGCUAGUAGUAAGACUCAAGGUUAUCUCAGCAAACCGUCUUUCUCCCCGACAACGGUUCCAGAAAUGCUUGUUGAUAUUUGGGAACGCAAUAAGGAAUUGAUCCGCAAGCGCACGGAUAUCGGUGAGCACUUCACCUGGGAGGUUAUCCAGAGUAUCGUAUUUAUUUUUUUACCACUAGGAGAAAGAGUGCAUCUGACUAACUCGGUCUAUUACUACUAACCCUUUAGGCAACAAAGAAUGUUUCUCGAUGUGAGUGAUAAAUAUAGAAGACCACAACCGUAAUCUCCUUCUACCCUUGGUAAGGAUGAUCUACUGUUCUAUUGGGGAGGCUAACGGAAUCUAGACACCACAAAGGAUGUUCAACCCGCACCUAUAAACCCUAUCCUUCCUGCUAACGAGAUAUGGUCUGCAAAGGUAACUCGGAAAUGUCAUGUUCCUCGCUACUACCACGGUCUAGCUAGUCAGGGAAUAUCUAUGAGUAUCCUAGCUUAAACACCACGUCGACGCUAGAGAUGAUUACUCUAAACUCUACGCGAAGAGAUUAAAGUAAACUCAUAAACCAAAAGAACAAUAAAACAAGAACUUACUAGAAUUUAGAAGUCGAAAUACUGAAGAAUCCUAGGAGCAAGCCUCGGGUUAGGAGAACUUGAUCCCGCAGGUACAAGCUUGGGGCAGACACCGACAGGCCGGGCUUCCUCCAAUCUACACCUCCACUCUAUCUCUCUCCAUCUAGUAGAAACUAGAAGAUCUAUUUCUACUUACAUUGGUUGCUAAGCCUAAAAAGAAAUUUUAUUUAGAGAAGAGGUUUUCCUUCGAGGGCUCCCCUCAACUCUAUGAUAAACUUGUCUCCUCCAGGGGCCAGGGGGUCUGGUUUUAUAGUCCCCUCAAGUGAACGUGAGCCAUUGGAUCAAACCGACAUUGAUUGGACGGUUAUCCUUGAUCCUUUAGGUCGGUGGAGCGUCGUGUGAGAGUCCCGAACGGAGUACAGAGGGGGGCGGGCGCCCAGGUCCUCAGGGCGGGCACCCUGGGCCUGGCCCCUUUUGGCCUCUGCUUCGUUCUCGUGGCUUCUGGAGUCUUCUAGAUGGUAGAAAAUUGUGCGGUGUGUUGAUAUCGCUAUGUAAUCCCGACAUGUGGGCCUUUCUUCCUUAUUUCCUGAUAAUCCCCUGCAGAAACAGAUAAACAACAAAACUCGUGGAAUUCUGUCAGAUCAAACCCUAAUUCUAGGUGUUGUUUGUAUAUUGGUCCUUUCUCUUGUUUAUUUGAUAAUUAUAAUUGAUACUUAAGAACCGUCAACAGCAUACUCUAUGUGAAUGCAUCAAGGCCGGAUGUGAUGUUUAGUGUAUGCAUGUGUGCUAGAUUUCAAGCCUCACUAAGAGAAAGUCAUUUGAAGGCAACAAAAAGAAUAUUGAGGUACUUGAAGCAUACACAAAAUGUCUGAUUGUGGUAUCCCAAAGGAACAAGUUUUGAGUUGAUUGGUUAUUCUGACUCUGAUUAUGCGGGAUGCAAAGUUGAGAGAAAGAGCACAUAAGGCACAUGUCAAUCAUUGGGAAGAUCACUUGUGUCGUGCUCAUCAAAGAAGCAAAAUAGUGUAGCACUUUCAACCGCUAAAGCAGAGUAUAUUUUAGCUGGUAGUUGUUGUGCUCAAUCACUUUGGAUGAAGGCUACUUUGAAUGAUUUUGGAAUCAAGUUCAAACAAGUGCCAUUGCUAUGUGAUAAUUGUUGGGUAUUCUUAACAUUAUUACCAAAAGUAGACUUAGUUUUCUAAUUCGGAUAACAGUGCCAAAAAUGCCAAACCUAUCUCUCAUACCACUUAAGCCAAGUUGUCAUCCCCAACAUGACAUGAGAGACGCGGUAUUGAAAUAUGCAAUUGCUCAUCUAAAUAAAUAAUGAAUGGGAUCUGCAAGCGCACAUAUUAAUACCGAUGUAGCAUUUUAACCGGGAAGUAUUCCACGUAUCGUUAUUUAUAUUUUUACCACUGGGAAGGGAUUACUAACCAUCAAUGUUGAUUAUAGAAUGGAAUAUAUGAUUGAGUAUCUAUCACUGCAUGUAUAAUUGAGAACAUUUAUCUAACUCUUUCAUACAGGGGUAAGUGUCACAUAAAGGAUAUAUAAAGUAAUGAAUAGUGACAAAGAUAAUUAAUCUGAUCAGCAUAACUAGCCACAUAUAAAUAUGAUAAGCACCUCAAUUAGAUAUUCUAGAAAGUCAUUAGCAUGGAAUUAGAACGAACUACAAAAAUAUUUCCUAAGUUAUUCUUAAGUAUACAGUCUAGCAUAUCAUAGUUAGUGCAAGCAUACUUAGCAAUCAUUGCGAGAUAGGAUUACGCCCAUGCAUAGUGAUAUUAGCAAGGAAUAUGAGAAACAUAGUAAUCACUCCCCUGUAAUAAUGUUGCUCUACCAGCCCAAUACACGAGAGGGGGACUAUAUAAGAAUCAAUGAAGCUGUCACUAUCACGAACUACCCCGUGAUCUGGCAUAUUGGGUACAAUCGUAGAUAAAUACGGUAUAAGCACCACGCCUACACAAUAUCUAUCAUUUACCCAUGGAUCCGAUGGAUAAACGCUAUACGAUCCUAAACAUGUAUAUAGAUCCAAUCUAACUAAGCCAAGUAUAUAACUAUGAUAGACUAAGAACAAUAUAAUCUUGAAUAUAAACAAGUAGAGCAAAAUCAUAAGCAAUAUAUUGAAGUAGAACAAAGUCAUAUUCAUAAUAUUGAAGAACAAUUAGAGAAUUACCAAGAAUCCUCUUGAUAGAUCCGGAAACCAAUCGAAGAUUGAAUCCUUCUAGUUCUAAUCCUAUGUAGCUAUGCUAAUCUAGAUGUCUAAUUGAUGUGGUGGCUCUAGGCUUGAUCAGAGGCUUCUUCUCCCUUAAGGAAUAAUGAAUUAGGGUUGAGAGGCUCUCUCCUCUAGGGGCCAGGGGGUCUGGUUUUAUAGUCCCUUCAAGUGCAUAUGGGCCGUCGGAUCAAACCGACAUUGAUUGAACGGUUAUCCUUGAUCCUUUAGGUCGGUGGAGAUCGAUCCCGAAAGAGAGUCCUGAUUGGACUCAGCAGGGGGGCGGGCUCCCUGGUCUCCUGGGCGGGCGCCCAGGGCCAGGCCCCGUUUCGCCUCCGCUUCGUUCCCGUGGCUUCUGGAGUCUUCUAGAUGUAAGAUAAUUGCACGUCACGUUGAUAUCUCUAUGUAAUCCCGACGUGUUGGCCUUUCUUCCGUAUUUCCUCAUAACCCCCUGCGGAAAUAGACAAACACCAAAACUCGUGGAAUUUUGUCAGAUAAAACCCUAAGUCUAGAUGUUGAUUUCAUUUGGAUCGUUUUCUUUGUUUAUUUGAUACUUAAAUUUGAUACUUAAGGACCGUCAACAAACUCCCCCAAGCUUACCUCUUGCUCGUCCCUGAGCAAUGAUAAUCUCAGCGAUAGAUCAGAAGUUGUUGUAAUGCUUUUAAAAGUUGACGGUACACAUGCUUUUAAAUAAGAUCUCAUCUCUGAGUUAGAGUAAACUAUCAUGACUUAAAACUUACUUACUUUACCUUUCACCAUGGGACUUGUAACCGUCUCUUCUGUCUUGAGUAGUUAAAAGAUAGAACAGUCUAGUCAAGUGCCAUGUCUCUUAUUUUUGAUAAGCUAUAGCUCUGGAGUUUUUGCAGAUUUUCAAAUAAAACUUAGAGAUUCCUUGUAUGACUCUCUCAGAUCUCUCUUAUGUAGUAUUUCUGGAUCCUUACCAAGGCAGUGAUGGUAUAUGCCUUCUCUCAAAAUAUGUAGUAUUUGUGGUAUAAGGCAUAGUGACAUUGCCUUCUCUCUCACCGUACUCUAAUAAGGCUUUUGAUAUCUGGAGCUCAUAGGUGGGAGUUAAAGUAUACAUACUUACAAGACAUUUAUUGUAUAGUCAAACCAUGGAUCCAAAGAAACAAAUCAAUAAGCCAAAUCAAGAUGUGCAUGUGUGGCGAAUGAAUGGCGUAUGGUGAUGAUGGUGAUAACAAUGGUGAAAGUCUAAUUCUACUUUUGCUCUUUUGAGAGGAUACAUACCUUCCUUGCUUUUUGAAACUUUGUGAGGAGAAUGAGAUGCUCUUCUUUUCUUUUUCUUUCCUCUCAGGUGGGUAUCUUAAACCCCUAAUUCUACUGUCGGACACUUGUCCAUUUUUACCUCUCGUCUAACUUUUUCUUUUCUUUUUUCUUUCGAGGUUCCGGGCACUUGCCCCUUUUUAUUUCCUCGUAUACUUUUUCUUCUCUUUUUUUAAAAGAGCACUUGUCUCUUGAAAUAAUAUAGCAAGUGGCAGUAACCAAGAUAACUUGAGCAUUUAUUUCAUAGGAGAAAAACAGAAAUAUUUUUGGUCAUUCUCUCCCGGAUUAGGAGUAGAAUGUUUUUGGGUGGUUCUGGAGAUGGAAAUGGGUGGAUAUAUGUGGAUGGUACUUCCAGAAUAGAAGCAGCAUGUAUGAGUGAACGUGCAAGUGAAUCUUGAUUUAACCACAUGACAAGCUCCUAAGGGUCUACACAGCUUGACCACACUCAAUGAUCAUAAGUAGUAAAGUAAAUGUGUGGCUCAAAGUCUAGCAAGCAUGUAUAUAUGGUUGUGGUAGGAAUUUAAACUCUCAUCAUAUAGGAACUCAUCAUGUAUUAUUUUAAAGAUUUUUUAAAGAUAAAAUUCUCUAGAAUUCUAGCAUCUCUAGGAACAGGUAAACAGCUGCUCAAACUUCCCAUAUCAUAUCCGUUAACAACUUAGACUUCAGAUCAAGUUUUCUUCCCACAAGUUUAGGUUUAGAGCAAGCUUUAAAUUAUAACAGUUAUGUCUAAACUUGAUAGAGAACUUCAAAUUUUAAAAAUUAGGCAGAGCAACUAUUCAUCAUAUCCAUGCUAGAGUUUUAUUAUUAAGAUUCAGAUUAGCAUAGCCACUUUAUUUAUUUAUUAAACACAGUAAGCAAAAGAUAUAUAUAUAUAUAUAUAAGCAUAAAAUCUUUAUUUGGUUUUUUCAUAGUUAUGUAUAUUUAAUGUAGUGAAAGUAUAAAAAUAGAUAGAAAUACUUAGCGGGAUAAAUGGGGGUGCUCUCCCCCAAGCUGAAUUUUGACGUAAUUUCUUCUGAUGUAUCUAGCAGGUGGCAGAGGUGUAUUUGAAAGUCGGCAGUAUCUUGACAGCGAUUAGAAUGUCCUCCGUCUGCUAGUCUUCUGAUUCUUAAACUCUGUGGAGCUCAAAUAGACAACAAAGCUUUGUGGAACUGAUUAAGUGUUAGCAUAAAUAUCUAGCCUUCAUCAUGUUGAGACUCCUCAAUAAAUGUUACUCCCUGUUUUUAUAUUUUUCAUUUUAUAGAGUAGAAAAGAAAUAUUUAUUUUAUUUUUAUGCCACCACAGUGAAUGUACUUAUGGGUUUUAUGCCACUCGUAUACUCACAUGGGGCUUACUGUUUUUAACAUUUUUAUUUUCUUUUUAGGAUAGUAUGAACAUGAUUAACUCAACUGUUUAAAAUAAUUGAAAGCGAAAGGAUAACUACCAAGUUUACCUCUUGUCAAGGCGUUCGGUGUUUUUAAGUCCUCCGAACGGGACUCUCCGUUUUCUCAAUUGUCCUAGGAUUCGUUGGGUGGCGUAGUCGGUGCUUCCGGCAGCGCCUCCUCUUCAUGUAUAGUUAUCUUCUCUUUCCACACCUGACUCGGUGCUACGGUCUCCUCUGGAUAAUUCUGUUUAAACUGUAUGUCUUCUGACCUUAUCACUUCUCCUUCGUAGUCUGCCCAUCCGUCCUUGAUGAUCUGACUCCUCUGGUUGCGGUUGCGUCGUUUUUUGACCUGCUUAGAGUCUUCAACGAUAUAGUUAGGGUCAGUAAAGUAGCGGCGUACCUUCUCUGAGGGGAAGUGCAUAUGGACUUCUCCAGUUCCAAUGUAGAUAAUUGCUUUAACGGUACUGAGGAACGGUCUUCCAAGGAUGAUGGGUGGAUCGUAUUCAUCUUCUCCCAUGUCAAUAACCUAAAAGUCUGUGUAGACAAAAUGAUCAUCUAUUUUGACAGGGACAUCAGUUACUAUUCCUUUAACCUCUCGGAAUGUCUGAUCUGCCAUCUGGAGUUGAAUGUAUGUUGAUUUUAGGGGCAUGGUUCCGAACAAGAGUCGAUAGGUGACUGCGGCCAUUAUGUUGACGCCCGAUCCGGUGUCGCAAAACGUCUUGUAGAAGUUGUAUCCAUUUAUGGAGCAAUAGAUGCUUGGCAUUCCUAGGUCGUCCUUCUUGAUCAAAAAUGGUGACUUAAGUUGAUGAUCUUGGCCUCCAUGAACUGCAGUGACCAUCUUAGCUGACUCGGUCCACACUUGCGUGUUCCUGUUCCUCCUGUUGGUCCUCUUCCUUGGUUCAUGUCGAGAUUGAUCUGGGAUUUGUGUAGUCUUGUUCUUGAAGGAAAACGUCUCCUUCUUCCCUUUGAAGUAGAAACUAAUCUUGGCAGCACUAGCGUAGAUGACAGCUCCCGAGGUGUUUAAGAAUGACCACCCUAAGAUGAUGGGUGCCCUCUCAUCAUUACCGGUCUCUUUCACUACAAAGUCUGCUGGGGCGUAUAAGGUACCAACUCGGACACAAAAGGUUCUUCAAUAUUCCUUUUGGAAAACUUAUUAUUUGAUCUGCAAACUGCAAACACAUGGUUGUUUCUGAUAAAGGAUAUGUAAAGAAUUUUUCAUAGAGUACCCUGGGCAUAAUGUUGACACUAGAGCCAAAGUCACAGAGUGCUUCUAGGAAGUCCACCAUGCCGAUGGAGAUUGGGAUGACGGGGUGUCCUGGAUCACCUCUCUUGACCGGCAGAAGGUCAGUAGUAACUUCAGUGACGGGGUUACUCCAAUUACCUGCAUCAAAUAUGUCUACAAGAUUUGCAGAUUCUAAUCCUUCCAGUUGUGAUGGUAUACCGGGGUUAGUAGCAGGAACAGCAGCAGCUAUGAUUUAACUGAGAUUCAAUCAUUUUAUUAAAGCUAAUUUGAUUCUUGAUGGCAGUAGAGAAAUUAUCCAUUCUAUUAUUUAUAUUUUCUAGCAUUUUAUCAUUAGAUGCCAAUUUCUUAGAUAGGUUAUCCAUUAGCUUUCCUUGAUUAGACACUAACUCUCUCAAAGGUGGAAAAUUAUUAUUACUGUUGUAAGAAUUAUUACCUUGAUAAUUACCUGAGUAGUUAGGCCUCUGUUGAUUCCAACCUUGAUUUUGUUGAGGACGGUUGUAGUAGUAGUAGUUGUUGUUGUUGUUGAUGUAGUUCACAUCCUCAAGCAUCUCAGGGCAGUGAUUGCCUGAGUGUCCAGUAUCUCCACACUCCUCACAAGUCAUGUGAGAGUCGUAGAUGUGCAUAACUUCUUUCUUAUCUCCAGCUCUAUCAUCGAGCUUCUUCAUGAGCAGGUCUAGCUUUGCAGAUAGCAUGUCUACCUCCUUGAGCUGAUGCAUACCUCCAACUCUCUUGCGUGUCUGGGUCCUCUCUUCAUUCCAGCUUUGAUUGGACGCCAUCUUCUCCACAAAAGCUGUGGCUUGUGAUAUGGUAAGUGAUAGGAAUACUCCUCCGGCUGCAGCAUCCAUGGUCUCUCGGGCACUGUUGCCGAGCCCAUGAUAAAAUGUCUACAUCAAUAGCCAACUCUCCAUUCCAUGAUGGGGACAUUCUAGGAUGUAGUCUUGGAAGCGCUCCCAUGCUUCUGGAACGGAUUCAUCAUGUUGUUGCUGAAAACUUGUAAGCUUCCCACGGAGAGCAUUGGUCUUGCCCAUGGGAAAGAACUUAGCCAGAAAGUUCGUGGAGCAGAGUGCCCACGUAGUAUUCUUCUCCUUUGUAGCGUAAAACCACUGCUUCGCUCUCCCCAACAGUGAGAAUAGGAAGAGGCGAAGUAGUAUAGCAUCUCUGGGGACUCCUGAUAUGGUGAAUGUGUUGCAAAUCUCCAGGAAGUGUUGGAGAUGAGCACUAGCAUCUUCGUGUGCCUUCCCACAGAACUGGUUGGAUUGCACCAUGUUAAUAAGUCCAGGCUUGAGCUCAAAGUUGCCAUCGAUCUCUGCAACAGGUCCAGUGCGGAUAUUGUCCGUAGUGGGAGCUGAGAACUCACGGAUCGAUUUGUUUGCCAUGGCUUCGAACUCUGAAGACAAGUUUUGGUGAUCUUCUUGAUUGGAUGAAGCUACUUGCUGAUGUGUUGAUGAUCCCUUCUUGAGCUUGGCUCUAGUUUUUCUAAAUAAGGCUUCGGGAUUGUCAACAAAAUUUCCUAGAAGAUGUCUUCUAUUCAUACAUUCCCCUGCAUAAGAUAAAAUAGGAAAAUAUUGGGGUAAAACUGUAUGAGAGAAUUGAUAAGCUCAAUCAUAUUAGUGAUGCGAAUGAUAACUCAAAAUUCUAUAUUCAUUCCUGAUUAGUAAUCAACCUUCACCGGCAACGGCGCCAAAAAUGCUUGUUGGGUAUUCUUAACAUCAUUACCAAAAGUAGACUUAGUUUUCUAAUUCUGAUAACGGUACCAAAAAUGCCAAACCUAUCUCUCAUACCACUUAAGCCAAGUUGUCAUCCCCAGCAUGACAUGAGAGACGCGGUAUUAAAAUAUGCAAUUGCUCAUCUAAAUAAAUAAUGAAUGGGAUCUGCAAGCGCACAGAUUAAUACCGAUGUAGCAUUUUAACCGGGAAGUAUUCCAGGUAUCGUUAUUUAUAUUUUUACCACUGGGAAGGGAUUAGUAACCAUCAAUGUUGAUUAUAGAAUGAAAUAUAAGAUUGAGUAUCUAUCAUUGCAUGUAUAAUUGAGAACAUUUAUCUAACUCUUUCAUACAGGGGUAAAUGUCACAUAAAGGAUAUAUAAAGUAAUGAAUAGUGACAAAGAUAAUUAAUCUGAUCAGUAUAACUAGCCACAUAUAAAUAUGAUAAGCACCUCAAUUAGAUAUUCUAGAAAGUCAUUAGCAUGGAAUUAGAACGAACUACAAAAAUAUUUCCUAAGUUAUUCUUAAGUAUAUAGUCUAGCAUAUCAUAGUUAGUGCAAGCAUACUUAGCAAUCAUUGCGAGACAGGAUUACGCCCAUGCAUAGUGAUAUUAGCAAGGAAUAUGAGAAACAUAGCAAUCACUCCCCUGUAAUAAUGUUGCUCUGCCAGCCCAAUACACGAGAGGAGGACUAUAUAAGAAUCAAUAAAGCUGUCACUAUCACGAACUACCCCACGAUCUGGCAUAUUGGGUACAAUCGCAGAUAAAUACGGUAUAAGCACCACGCCUACACAAUAUCUAUCAUUUACCCAUCGAUCCGAUGGAUAAACGCUAUACGAUCCUAAACAUGUAUAUAGAUCCAAUCUAACUAUGCCAAGUAUAUAACUAUGAUAGACUAAGAACAAUAUAAUCUUGAAUAUAAACAAGUAGAGCAAAGUCAUAAGCAAUAUAUUGAAGUAAAACAAAGUCAUAUUCAUAAUAUUGAAGAACAAUUAGAAGAACAAUUAGAGAAUUACCAAGAAUCCUCUUGACAGAUCCGGAAACCAAUCGAAGAUUGACUCCUUCUAGUUCUAAUCCUAUGUAGCUAUGCUAAUCUAGAUGUCUAAUUGAUGUGGUGGCUCUAGGCUUGAUCAGAGGCUUCUUCUCCCUUGAGGAAUAAUGAAUUAGGGUUGAGAGGCUCUCUCCUCCAGGGGCCAGGGGGUCUGGUUUUAUAGUCUCUUCAAGUGAAUAUGGGCCGUCGGAUCAAACCGACAUUGAUUGAACGGUUAUCCUUGAUCCUUUAGGUCGGUGGAGAUCAAUCCCGAAAGAGAGUCCUGAUUGGACUCAGCAGGGGGGCGGCCGCCCUGGUCUCCUGGGCGGGCGCCCAGGGCCAGGCCCCGUUUCGCCUCCGCUUCGUUUCCGUGGCUUCUGGAGUCUUCUAGAUGUAAGAUAAUUGCGCGUCACAUUGAUAUCUCAAUGUAAUCCUGACGUGUGGGCCUUUCUUCCGUAUUUCCUAUAACCCCCUGCAGAAACAGACAAACACCAAAACUCGUGGAAUUCUGUCAGAUAAAACCCUAAGUCUGGAUGUUAAUUUCAUUUGGAUCCUUUUCUUUGUUUAUUUGAUAAUUAAAUUUGAUACUUAAGGACCGUCAACAAUAAUGAGAGUGCAGUGAAGCUCACUAACAACCCAGUUCAACAUUCAAGAACAAAGCAUAUAGAUGUCCAUCAUUAUUUCAUAAGAGAUUAUCAACAAAAAGGUAACAUUUGUAUUGAGAGUGUGGGCACCGAAGAUCAACUUGCCGAUAUAUUCACCAAGUCACUUGAUGAGAAGAGGUUUUGCAAGGUAAGGAAUGAAUUGAACAUAUUGGAUUUCUCAAAUAUGUGUUGAUGCACCCCCAUAAUAUGACAUGCCUCUUCUUCAAGCAAAGCAAGGUAAAAUUGAUUGACAUGUCAUCCAUCCUUUGCUAAGGACUUGUUUAGUGCAUCUAGUCAUUCCUCACAUGUUUUAGGCUCAUUCAUGAAAAUAAAAUAAAUUUGAUGCUUGUAUGAUAGCACUAUUGCUUCUAUGUUUGAAAUAAUCUAGUGGUAGCAUAUGACAUGUUUGUGGGCUUGCAAUCCUAGUGUUUGAUCUAGAAAAUGAGCUAUAAGUGUUUAACUCAACAUUGUCAAGAUAACCCUUGAAAUGAGAUGUCAAAAUGCUUGUCGUUGGAUCAAACCGAGUUAAAUAUCUUAGGCAAGUAAUCAAGAUUGAACCAAAUUUAGGAAAAUGAUCCUCACAUAACAUGGUUUCACACAACCUAUCUAAAAUUUGAGCUCACCUUUUGUGGUUAUCGAUGACAAAGGGGAGAAGUAAUUCACAAAGAUAGGUUUUGCUAAAAGAAGGGGAUCAAAUUAUUUUGAAGCACACAAGUAGGGGGAGCAAGCCCAUAAACUUGUAUGUUGCAUUACAUAUGCUUGCUUGCAUAGCAUAAGUUUUUUUCCUCCGAUACAUGCUUGUGUGGUGUUUGCUAGUUGUAAAUUUAUUUGAUGAAAUGAAAUACUAGCAUGCAUAGGAUGGUAGUUAGAUGUGCCUUGCAGGUUUUGUUUUUACAAGUAAUACUAGAGUCUUUUUUUUAUAAUGUUGAUCUCACGAGGUAUCUAGUGUUUAUAUUUGCAAGCGCUAUCUAACUAACCAUGGUGCUAAGGAUGGUAUUCAAAUGACAACUCCGAUUGGUAUCACGCUUCAAAGGUCCAUUCUUUACACCUUAACAUCAUUUGGUAGCCAUUAUCUCCUAUGUUUCCUAUCUAAGCAUAUGUGCAAGCCUUCAAAUCCAAACUCUUAGCACAUACGUAGGGGGAGCCAAUGCUAUCAAUUUGGGUUUAUAAAACUUGCCCAUAUCCAUUACACAUGGUAAAAUGCUUGGGCAAGCAACAUGAACCUAAAAAUAUUUUAUUGAAUAUCUUUGUGAAAAGGUGGUCAUCAAUUACCAAAAAGGGGGAGAUUGAAAGCCCUAGUUUGGUUUUGGAUAAUUGAUGAAACCUAUGUGUACUAAUAUUUGUCAUGAGUGAAAUACAAAGAUAGGUUGGUUCACACCAAGUAAUGGAGCUAGACGAUGGUCAUGGUGAUGGAGGUGACCAAAAAAUAAUAUUCAAGUGCUCCAACUUAGAAAAGAAGAAAGAGAAAAAUAAAAUGGGCUCAAGGCAAAGGUAUUUUUAAUAGGGCCAUUUUGUUUUGUCACUCAAGACACCUAGAGUUUGUGAGUGGAUUUAGGAUAGAUAAUCGUACUAUAAAGAGAGGAAAUCUUUAAUUACAGUGGUUAUCUAGUGCCACUAAGUGUGAGUCUCUUUUGCAUAUGCAUUGCGCUUAGUGACAUGGUGAGAAUGCUUGAGAAAGCCCUAAAAAUUAUUUGUGAAAAUGCUAACUUAAGUGCUCAAUUGUUUUGGUACUUCGUGGGAGAGUUAGCACCUUGAAAAGGGAUAUUUAGUUGAAAAACGAGCUAGUAGUCAUGCCCAAACAAUAAGGGGUCGAUCGGAGUUAUUCACUACCCUACUGAAUAUAUUCUAGUGUAUAUGCUUGCAACAGAGAGGGGUCGAUUGGAAUUUUCCUUGCUCUACCUGGAUAUUUUCAUGGCUCUAUAUGGAAAUUUUGGUUGAGCUCAAAUCUACUCGCGCCCAACGGUCAUGUGCGUGCAAUAGAGAGUUUUGGCUAGAAAUUUAGUUGCCCCGCACUGGAAAUUUUUCUGUGCCGUAGUUCACCCACGCCAACGGUCAAAAGUGUGUUUGCCUGGAAUUAUUUCCUACCUGCAAUGGAAUUUCUCACAAGAUUGGGCUGCUGCAACGGUCGGAUGAGUGGCUGGCUGAGGAUAAGGUCGGGUCUUACCCCUUCCUUUCUUCUUUCUCAAUCCAUUCCCCAUUCUUGCUCUCUGUUGACGGUCCUUAAUGCUCACAUUUAACCGUCAAUUAAUCAUGGAAAAGGACCUAUAUGCAAUCAACACCUAGACUUAGGGUUUUAUCUGACAGAAUUCCAUGAGUUUUGGUAUUUGUCUAUUUCUGCAGGGGUUAUCAGGAAAUACGGAGGAAAGGCCCACACGUCGGGUUUACAUAGAUAUUAACGUGCCGCGCAAUUUUCUAUCAUCUAGAAGACUCAAGAAGCCACGAGAACGAAUGGGAAGCCGAGAGGGCUCAGGGACAGGGCGCCCGCCCUACUCCUUUGGGCGCCCGCCCACCUUUAGUGUCCAAUUCAGACCCAUUUCGCGGAUCACGCUCCACCGACCUAAAGGAUCAAGGAAAACCGUGCGAUUAAUGUCGGUUUGAUCCGACGGUCCAGAUUCAUCUGAAAAGACUAUAUAAGUAAGGCCCCUGGAGAUCAUACCUCUUCUACAUAAUCAAAGCUAGGGUUUCAAUUCUUCAUCCAAGUAGAGAGGAUCUCUCUAGUUCAUCUAGUUCUAGCUCUAGUUCAUCUAGUUCUAGUUCAUCUAGUUCUAGUUCUAGUUAGUUCUAGUUAGUUCUAGUUGUAAUCUAGAAAAUAGGGAGAGAGAAGAGGAGAGCGGAGGAGGAGCCGGAUCUGUCGGAUCUUCCUCAAUAUUGUACUUUUGCAGCAACUGGUUCGUUCUUCAUCGUUCUCCAGGUUCUUCAAUUCAUAAUUCCUAAGUUCUUUAAUUACUUUUAUUUACAUUCAAGUUAUUUAUUGGAUUCCCGCUUGCAUCAAGUGCUCUAGUCUUUAUAACGCUAGAGUAGCAAUUAAUAGAUUAGACAUGGUGUUUAGUCUUGCAAUUACCUGGAAUUGCACCCAAUCCUGCGGAUUGUUGUGGUAGCCCUAGGGUAGUGACAGCCCUAACGGUCGACGUAUUCCACCUCGUUCGGAUCGAUGUUUGUAGGACCGUAGUUAGAGCUUCCUAGCCCCCUUCUCAUCUCUUUUUGUGGUUAGUGUUCUGAUGUCCCGAAAUAAAUAAUCUUUGAAGUAAUUCUUGAUUCUUAGAUCAACUAGAGAACUCUCAGAAAACUUCCUCUCUUCCCACCAAAAAUAAUUAUAUAGUUAUCCUUGGGCGAUCUUGAUUCUUAAUUAGUACACUCACGUUCCCUGUGGAAAAUCGAUACUCUGGAAUACUCCCGGGUGAAAGCUACAUCGGUAUCCGUGCGCUUGCGGAUUUUUCUGUUUGCGUUUAAAAUACCCAACAAGCUUUCUGGCGCCGUUGCCGGGGAACGGUAGUUGUGCUAGUUUCGAACCAAGUCAUCCGUGUAUCCUUUUUCUUUUCCUUUUUUUACCACACUCACCUUACCAUUUUCACCACACCACAUGGAUUUCACUCUAAGAAUUAAUGAGCAUGGAAUUUAUUUCAUAGCCACUUCAUUUACUCCAUGCUCAUAUGCAACAUCUUCCCAAUCUUUUGGUCUCUCCAACAUCACCACAUUCGAGAUCUCCAACCCCCUCAUCCUUUCUAUUUAUAAAAACUUUAAAAGGGCGGUUGUCGAUACAUAUGUCUAUAAUAAAUAUUGCAGAUCUCGUUGAGUUGAUCUUGAUAUAGGUCAGCGUUGGAGGGGAAACCACUUCGCCGACAUAAAUUGAUGGUUUCCCAAGGACAAGCUUAGUGUCCUAAAAUAAGCACUGAUCAGAUCGUAACAUGAGCUUUUAAUUAUUUGCAACAUUACCUUGUGUAUUGAGCAUAUAAGGAUAAUUGUAAACAAUUCCUUCGGGUAUUCUUGUCACUAACCUUUCCAGGAUUGGAGCAAGAAGAUCGGAUGAAUGACAAGCACAAGGUAUGUCCAACCAAUCAUCAUACAACAUUAAAUUAAAUUCAUCCAAACUUGAAUUUUGCAAAACUCAAGCUUAGGGGAGUACUUUACAUAAAAACAUCAUUUGCCAUGUUGCUAUGUUGGUUGUUGUUGACGGUCCUUAAGUAUCAAAUUUAAUUAUCAAAUAAACAAAGAAAAGGAUCCAAAUGAAAUCAACAUCUAGACUUAGGGUUUUAUCUGACAGAAUUCCACGAGUUUUGGUGUUUGUCUAUUUCUGCAGGGGGUUAUCAUGAAAUACGGAAGAAAGGCCCACAUGUCGGGAUUACAUAGAGAUAUCAACGCACCGCGCAAUUUUCUACCAUCUAGAAGACUCCAGAAGCCACGGGAAGAAAGCAGAGGCCGAAAGGGGCCAGGCCCAGGGCGCCCGCCCUGUCCUAGACUCCGUUCGGGACUCUCUUCGCACACGAUGUUCCACCGACCUAAAGGAUCAAGGAUAACGUAGUCCCAAAUCGCCUACCGACCCAAAAACGCAUAGAGGAGGAGGACUAUAUAAGGAGACCCCCUGGCCCCUAGAGAAGACAAGAAGUUAUCAUAGAGUUGAGGGGUGCCCUCGAAGGAAAACCUCUUCUCUAAAUAAUAUUUCUUUUUAGGCUUAGCAACCAAUGUGAGUAGAAAUAGAUCUUCUAGUUUCUACUAGAUUGAGAGAGAUAGAGUGGAGGUGUAGGUCGGAGGAAGGCCGGCCUGUCGGUGUCUACUCCGAGGUUGUACCUGCGGGAUCAAGUCUUCUAACCCGAGGCUUGCUCCUAAGAUUCUUCAGUAAUUCGACUUCUAAUUCUAGUAAGUUCUUGUUUUAUUGUUCUUUGGUUUAUGAGUUUACUUUAAUCUCUUCCGGUUGAGUAUUAGAGUAAUCAUUGCUAGCGUAAACGUGGUGUUUAGGCUAGGGUACUCAUAGAUAUCCGUUGACUAGCUGGACCGUGGUAGUAGCGAGGAACGUGACAUUUCCAAGUUACCUUUGUAUCUCAUAUCUUGUUAGCAGGAAGGGUAGGGUUUAUAGGUGCGGGUCAAACAUCCUUUGUGGUGUCUAGAUUCCGUAAGCUUCCCCAAUAGAACAGUAGAUCAUCCUUACCAAGGUUAGAACGAGACUACGGUUGCAGUCUUCUCUAUACAUCACUCACAUCGAGAAACAUUCUUUGUAGCCUAAAGGGAUAGUAGCAAUAGAUUUGGUUAGUCAGAUGCACCCUUUCUCCCAGUGGUAAAAUAUAAAUACGAUACUCUGGAAAACCUCUCGGGAGAAAUGCUCACCGAUAUCCGUGCGCUUGUGGAUCAUUUCCUGAUUGCGUUACCAAAUAUCAACAAGCAUUUCUGGCGUCGUUGCCGGGGAGAAAUACGGUUUGCUGAGAUAACUUUAAGUCUUGCUAUUAUCUUGUAUUAUACUUUUAUACUUUUAUUCUUUAAUCUUUUUAGUUUUUCCAUCUUUAUGGAUAACUUAAAGUCCAUACCUAUUAUUGAAUUUUUUGCACCUUCGGAGACCAGCCAUAGACCAUGGGAGUCAACAAGUCUUGCCCCUAAUUAUGAUCUGUGUCCAGAGUUGAUUGCAAUAGGUCAAAACCAACCCUUUUCUAUAGUUGAGGUCCUAUCUUUUAAUCAAGAAGAUAAUGAACUUUUAGCUACACCUAGGGAAUAUUUUAAUCUUUCUAUAAAUUCUGGUUUAGACCUAGCCCUACAAGACCAUGUUUUUUCUCGAUAUUUUCACAUUGGUCUUAAUCAUAUAACCUUUGGUAGAGUCUUUCUUUCUUUAUCUAUUAGAAAAGGAAGGUAUGUCUUCAUUCGUGGACAUCCUUCUUGCACUAGUCUUCAUAAAAAAUUUUUAGAGAUAGAGAAGGAAUCAUCUCCCAGACAAGGAAAGGAAGUUUCAAUAGCCGAUUUCCAAACAUUCCGAUCCCAUGAUUCGGCUAUCCAACCCAUCCUUGAGCCUAAUAAUUUCUACUAUGCUCUUUCUCUUGAACCUCCUCAUGAUCCUAUGAAUCUCUUUAGACAUCCCAUGCAUAAGAGUCACCAAGACCAUAAGGAGGAUCGAGAAGAGCAACAUCAAUGGCUAGAGGGCAUUAAAAAUCCAUGUGCUAUCACCACAUUUGAAAUCUCCAACCCUCUCUUCCUUUCUAUUUAUAACAACUUUAAAAGAGCGGUUGUCGAUGUAUAUGUCUAUAAUAAAUAUUGCAGAUCUCGUUGAGUAGAUCUUAAUAUAGGUCAGCGUGGGAGGGGAAACCACUUCGCCGACAUAAAUUGAUGGUUUCCCAAGGACAAGCUUAGUGUCCUAAAACAAGCACUGAUCAGAUCGUAACAUGAACUUCUAAUUAUUUACAACAUUGCCUUGUGUAUUGAGCAUAUAAAGAUAAUUGUAGAAAUAUUCCUUCGGGUAUUCUUGUCACUAACCUUUCCAAGAUUGGAGCAAGAAAAUCCGAGGAAUGACAAGCGCAAGGUAUGCCCAACCAACCAUCAUACAACAUUGAAUUAAAUUCAUCCAAACUUGAAUUUUACAAAAUUUAAGCUUGGGGGAGUACUUUACAUAAAAACAUCUUUUGCCAUGUUGCUAUGUUGGUUGUCCUUACCUUUGAGACAUGCUCAAUUUGUUAAAUACUAAUCACACUACUUCUUCUCCACUUAAGUAGAUCUCUAUAAAAGCCAUCAUGUUACCUAUGUUUAUCCUAGUAAGUGUUAGUUUGGAAGUACUGGACAUAUUUCCAUUGGCAUUUAAAUUAAGCGUGGUGCUUAGGUUAAAUAGCCUUCCUUAAUCUGAUUAGACAUGGAGUCUAGUUUGGUUACUGAACUAAAAACUGCUUCAGUAGGCAUUGGUAUACUUUGUCGGACUAACCCCUGCAGGAAAACUUUCAAUAUCAACCUGGGAAGUCCUGAGAUACAAACUCAUAUUGGAGAUAAAGGAGACACAUAAAGUUUAACAAUUUGCACAAGGAAGACAUAGCUCAUUCAUCAUAGAGAGAUGAUCCAUGGAACAAGACAAAGAGUGCCACAAACACGAUGCACAACCGCUAAGAAAGGAAAGCUUCCACAAGGAGAUAUUAUACCAUCACUCUUCAAUUAAGGUAACAUCUGAAGGUACUUGACUAUCACUUUUAUAAGCUUCUCCUUGGUUCUGGCGUUCACAUGAAUAAAGACACAAAUAUAAAUUAACCAACCUAAUUAAUUCAACAUGUUUAGUCCUUUAAUCUUUGUUCUUAGUACUACCUUUGUGAUCCCACACUCCUAAUCAUAUAAGCUAAAAUGUUGCAUAUUCAAUCUUUGGGAAGAUAUAAAGAAAAAAAACAUAAAUAUAGAUAGAUUAUCUUUCCAUUAGGUUGAGCCAUCUGAUCUGACAAAUGCUACACUCAUGGUCCAUCAACUUUGUCUUGCUCACUAUGCUUAAGGUUAGAGAAGAACAAAUACACUUUUGGUUCUGUUGGUGUUUUCCACCAACAGGGCCCAUGCACUUGAUCUCUGCCUUGUCUCAAUGAACAGGUACACUUCAAGCAAAACAUGAAGGAGUUUUACAACUCCUAGAUUCCACCAAGUGAAGGACUUGGAUCUACGAGCACAAACACACUGAGCAGGAUAUUGCCAACAUCGCACUUCGAACUGCUGGGCAAACAAACAACAUGGGUGACUCCGUAUCAAGAGGUGCAGACGUUAAGGUCCACACCUAAUCAAAUGAUGCACCUAAAAGAUGAAGACGGUGAGAAGUCUUGUCCAGAAGACUUAAAACAUUGGAUCCUUGUUAGAGGAGGUCAAGAUCGUCGACUCAAGUCGCCUUUCCUAAUCAAGAAGGACGACCCUGGUGUUCCAAGCAUCGAAUGCACAAUCAAUGGAUACUCUUUUUAGAAGACACUCUACGACACCGGAUCAGACGACAACAUAAUGACCGCAGUCACUUAUCAGCUCCUGCAUGGAACCAUGCCCCUACAACCAACAUACAUUCAGCUCCAGAUGAUUUUCAGGUCAUUGACAUGGGAGAAGACGAGUAUGAUCCACCCACCAUCCUUGGAAGACCAUUCCUCAACACUAUCAAAGCCAUCAUCUACGUUGCAACCGGAGAAGUCCACAUGCACUUCCCCUCUGAGAAGGUACGCCGCUAUUUUACUAACCUUAACUAUAUAGUUAAAGACUCUAAGCAGGUCAGGACAAGAAGAAGACGACGCAACCGCAACCAGAGGAGGCAAAUCAUCAAGGACGGAUGGGCAGACUACGAAGGAGAAGUGGUAAGGUCUGAAGACAUACAGCUUGAACAGAACUGUCCUGAGGAGACCGUAGCACCGAGUUAGGGGUGGAGGGAGAAGGUAGUUAUACACGAAGAGGAGGCGCUGCCAGAACCACCGACUACGCCACCCAGCAAAUCCCAGGAUGAUUGAGAAAACGGUGAGUCCCGUUCGGAGGACUUAAAAGCACCAAACGCCUUGCCAAGAGGUAAACAUGGUAGUUAUCCUUUUCCAUUCAAUAGUUUGCUUAGUUAAUCAGGUUCAUGCUAUCUGGAAAAUAAAAUAAAAAUGUUAAAAAAAAUAGUAAGCCCCAUGUGAGUAUGCUCAUGGCAUAAAACCCAUAAGUACAUUCACUGUGGUGGCAUAAAAAUAAAAUAAAUAAGUUUUCAUCUUACAAUAAAAAUAUAAAAAUAAUAUAGUGCAUGAUCCCGCUAAAUAAGUAACAUUUAUUGAGGAGGCUCAACAUGAUAAAGGCUAGAUAUUUAUGCUAACACUUAACCAGUUCCACAAAGCUUUGUUGUCUAUUUGAGCUCCACAGAAUUCAAGGAUCAAAGAAGACUAGCAGACGGAUGACAUCCUAAUCGCUGUCGGGGUGCUGUCGACUUUUAAAUACACCUCCAUCACCUGCUAGCUACAUCAGAAGAAAUUACGUCAAAAUCCAGCUUGGGAGAGAGCACCCCCAUUUAUCCAGCUAAGUAUUUCUACUCGCGUUUAUAGUUUACUCAAAUAAUAAAAGAUGAAUAAUCAUGAAAACCCAAAUAAAGAUUUUGAGCUUUUAUAUAUAUAUCUUUGCUUAGUUUGUUAAAUAAAUAAAUAAAUAAAGUUUGCUAUGAACCUUUAUGAUAAGCUCUCACAUGGAAAUGAUGAAUAGUUGCUCUGCCAUGACUAGUUCUUAAAAUUGAAAUCUCUCUCAAGUUUAGGCAUAACUGUUAUAAUUUAAACCUACUCUAAACCUGAACUUGUGGGGAGAAUACUUGAUCUAAAGUCUAAGUCGUUAAUGGAUAUGAUAUGGGAAGGUUGAGCUGUUGUUUAUCUGUUCCUAGAGAUGCUAGAAUUCUGGAGAAUUUUAUCUUUAAAAAAAUCUUUAAAAUAACAUAUGAUGAGUUCCUGUAUGAUGAGAGUUUAAAAUCCUACCACAGCCAUAUUUACAUGCUUAUUAGACUUUGAGCCACACAUUUACUUUUUACUGCUUAUGAGCAUUGAGUGUGGUCAAGCUGUGUAGACCCUUAGGAGCUUGUCAUGUGGUUAAAAUCAAGAUUCACUUGCAUGUUUACUCGUAUAUGCUGCUUCUACUCCGGAAGUACGCAUCCACAUACAUCCACUCAUUUCCGUCUCCAGAUUCACCCAAAAUUAUUCUACUCCUAAUUCGGGAGAGAAUAGCCAAAAACAUUUUCCUAUCCCUGUUAUUCCCUGUGAAAUAAAUGCUCCAGUUAUUUUGGUUACUACCACUUGCUACAUUCUUUCAGGAGAUGAGUGCUCUAAAAAAAAGAAAAAAAAUAAUACAAGGAAAUAAAAAGGGGCAAGUGUCCGGAACCUCGAAGAAAAGAAAAAGUGAGACGAGAGGUAAAAAUGGACAAGUGUCCGACAGUAGAAUUAGAGGUACAAGAUACCCACCUGAGAGGAAAGAAAAAGAAAAUAUAGAGCAUCUCAUUCUCCCCAAAAAACUUCAAAGUGCAAGAAAGGUAUGUAUCCCCUCAAAAGAGCAAAAAUAGAAUUAGACUUUCACCAUUGUUAUCACCAUCAUCACCAUACACCAUUCAUUCGCCACACAUGCACAUCUUGAUUUGACUUAUUGACUUGUUUCUCUGGAUCCAUGGUUUGACUAUGCAAUAAAUGUCUUGUAAGUAUGUAUUAGCUGUCUCCCACCUAUGAGCUCCAGAUAUCAAAACCUUAUUAGAGUAGGGUGAGAGAGAAGGCAAUAUCACUAUGCCUCAUACCACAAAUACUACAUACUUUGAGAGAAGGCAUAUAUCAUUACUGCCCUGGUAAGGAUCCAGAAAUACCACAAAAGCGAGAUUUGAGAGUCAUAUAAGGAAUCUCUGAGUUUUAUUUGAAAAUCUAUAAAAACUCCAGAGCUAUAGCUAAUCAAGAAUACGAGACAUGGCGCUUGACUUGACCGUUCUAUCUUUUAACUGCUCAAGACACAAGUGACGGUUACAAGCCCCAUGGUGAAAGGUAAAAUGAGUAAGUUUUAAGUCUUAACAGUUUAUUCUAACUCAGAGAUGAGAUCUUGCUUGAAUGCGUGUGUACUUUUAAGGCAUGAAACUACUGCAGAAACUCUUGAGUCCAUCCUUGCUCAGGGACGAGCAAGAGGUAAGCUUGGGGGAGUUUGUUGACGGUCCUUAAGUAUCAAAUUUAAUUAUCAAAUAAACAAAGAAAAGGAUGCAAAUGAAAUCAACAUCUAGACUUAGGGUUUUAUCUGACAGAAUUCCACGAGUUUUGGUGAUUGUCUAUUUCUGUAGGGGGUUAUCAGGAAAUACGGAAGAAAGGCCCACAUGUCGGGAUUACAUAGAGAUAUCAACGCACCGCGCAAUUUUCUACCAUCUAGAAGACUCCAGAAGCCAUGGGAAGAAAGCAGAGGCCGAAAGGGGCCAGGCCCAGGGCGCCCGCCCUGAGGACCUGGGCGCCCGCCCUGUCCUGGACUCCGUUCGGGACUCUCUUCGCACACGAUGUUCCACCGACCUAAAGGAUCAAGGAUAACGUAGUACCACAUCGCCUACCGACCCAAAAACGCAUAGAGGAGGAGGACUAUAUAAGGAGACCCCCCUGGCCCCUGGAGAAGACAAGAAGUUAUCAUAGAGUUGAGGGGUGCCCUCGAAGGAAAACCUCUUCUCUAAAUAAUAUUUCUUUUUAGGCUUAGCAACCAAUGUGAGUAGAAAUAGAUCUUCUAGUUUCUACUAGAUUGAGAGAGAUAGAGUGGAGGUGUAGAUCAGAGGAAGGCCGACCUGUCGGUGUCUACUCCGAGGUUGUACCUGCGGGAUCAAGUCUUCUAACCCGAGGCUUGCUCCUAAGAUUCUUCAGUAAUUCGACUUCUAAUUCUAGUAAGUUCUUGUUUUAUUGUUCUUUGGUUUAUGAGUUUACUUUAAUCUCUUCCGCUUGAGUAUUAGAGUAAUCAUUGCUAGCGUAAACGUGGUGUUUAGGCUAGGGUACUCAUAGAUAUCCCCUGACUAACUGGACCGUGGUAGUAGCGAGGAACGUGACAUUUCCGAGUUACCUUUGUAUCCAAUAUCUUGUUAGCAGGAAGGGUAGGGUUUAUAGGUGCGGGUCGAACAUCCUUUGUGGUGUCUAGAUUCCGUAAGCUUCCCCAAUAGAACAGUAGAUCAUCCUUACCAAGGUUAGAACGAGACUACGGUUGCAGUCUUCUCUAUACAUCACUCACAUCGAGAAACAUUCUUUGUAGCCUAAAGGGAUAGUAGCAAUAGAUUUGGUUAGUCAGAUGCACCCUUUCUCCCAGUGGUAAAAAUAUAAAUACGAUACUCUGGAAAACCUCCCGGGAGAAAUGCUCACCGAUAUCCGUGCGCUUGCGGAUCAUUUCCUGAUUGCGUUACCAAAUAUCAAUAGUUGUCCCUACCUUUGAGACAUGCUCAAUUUGUUAAAUACUAAUCACACUACUUCAUCUCCACUUAAGUAGAUCUCUAUAAAUGCUCUCAUGCUACCAUUAUUUGCUUUAGUAUAUGUCUAGGUUUGGAGUAGUUUCAUUCAUCUCUUAAUUAAGCAUGGUGCUUAGUUUAGGAAUGAUGAUCUUACUUCCAAGGAUUUUAAAUUAAGCAUGGUGCUUAGGUUAAAAUGCCCUCCUAAAUCAAAUUAGACAUGGUGUCUAGGUUGAUUUUUGAGCUGAUAGUAUGCUAUAGUAGAUAUUGGAUAUUUUGUUGGACUAAUCCCUGCAGGAAAACUUUCAAUAUCGACCUGGGAAGUCCUGAGAUAAACUCACAUUGGAGACAAAAAGAGAGACACAUGAAGUUUAACAAUUUACACAAGGAAGGCAUAGCUCACAAGAGAUGAUCCAUGGAGGGUGCCACAAACACGAUGCACAACCGCUAAGAAAGGAAAGCUUCCACAAGGUGAUAGUGUACCAUCACUCUUCAAGUAAGGUAACAUCUUAAGGUACUUGACUAUCACUUUUAUAAGCUUCUCCUUGGUUCUGGCGUUCACAUGAAUAAAAGAGACAAACAUGUAUGAUUUACAACCCUAGAUUAACCAACCCAAUCGAUUCAACAUGUUUAGUCCUUCCACCUUUAUGAUCCCACACUCCUAAUCAUAUGAGCUAAAAUGUUGCACACGCAAUCUUUGGAAGAUAUAAAAAACAUAAGUAUAGAUAGAUUAUCUUUCCAUUAGGUUGAGUGAUCUGAUCUGACAAAUGUUUUAAAUGCUACACUCAUGAUCUUAUUAUCCAUCAACUUUGUCUUGCUCACUAUGCUUAAGGUUUGAGAAGAACAAAUACACUUUUGGUUCUGUUGGUGUUUUCCACCAAUAGGGCCCAUGCACUUGAUCUCUGCCUUGUCUCUAUGAACAGGUACACUUCGAGCAAAAUAUGAAGGAGUUUUACAACUCCCAGACUCCACCAAGUGAAGAACCUGGAUCUAUGAGCACAAACACACUGGAGAUACUGGACACUCAGACAAUCACUGCCCUGAGAUGCUUGAGGACGUAAACUACAUCAACAACAACUACUACUACUACAACCAUCCUCAACAAAAUCAAGCUUGCAGAUCGUACGCUAAGUUUCCCAAAGGGAAUAUUGAAGAACCUCUGCGUCCGAGUUGGUACCUUGUACGCCCCAGCAGACUUCGUGGUGAUAGAGACUGGUACUGAUGAGAGGGCACCCAUCAUCCUAGGGAAGCCAUUCCUGAACACCUCAGGAGCUGUCAUCUAUGCUAGUGCUAUCGAGAUCAGUUUCUACAUCAAGGGGAGGAAGGAGAUGUUUUCCUUCAAGAACAAGACUACACAAGUCUCAGAGCAAUCCCGACAUGAACCAAGGAAAGGACCAACAGGAGGAACAGGAACAAGCAAAUGUGGACCGAGUCAGCUAAGAUGGUCACUGCAGUUCAAGGAGGUCAAGAUCGUCGACUUAAGUCACCGUUCCUGACCAAAAAGGAUGACCCAGUCACCUAUCAGCUCCUGUUUGGAACCAUGCCCCUAAAACCGAUAUACAUUCAGCUCCAGAUGGCAGAUCAGAUAUUCUGAAAGGUUAUUGUCAUGGGAGAAGACGAGUACGAUCCACCCAUCAUCCUUGGGAGACCGUUCCUCAGCACCGUUAAAGCAAUCAUCUACAUUGGAACUGGAGAAGUCCACAUGUACUUCCCCUCUGAGAAGGUACGCCGCUAUUUUACUGACCUUAACUAUAUAGUUGAAGACUCUAAGCAGGUCAGGACAAGAAGAAGACGACGCAACCACAACUAGAGGAGGCAAAUCAUCAAGGAUGGAUGGGUAGACUAUGAAGGAGAAGUUGUAAGGUCUGAAGCCAUACAACUUGAACAGAACUAUCCUGAGGAGACCGUUGUUGACGGUCCUUAAGUACUAAAAUUAAUAAUCAAAUAAACAUGAAAAAGGAUCAAUAUGAAACAAACAUCUAGAAUUAGGGUUUUAUCUGACAGAAUUCCACGAGCUUUGGUGUUUAUCUAUUUCUGCAGGGGUUUAUCAGAAAAUAUGGAGAGAAGGCCCACAUGUCAUGUUUACAACGAGAUAAUUACGUGCCGCGCAAUUUUCCUCAAUCUAGAAGGAUCCAGAAGCCACGGGAACGAACGGGAAGCGAUUCGGGCUCGGGGGCAGGGCGCCCGCCCACCCCCCUUGGGCGCCCGCCCAGGGUUGGAGGCCAAAUAGGACUCUGCUUCGGGGCAAGACUCCACCGAUCUAAAGGAUCAAUCUAAACCAUACAAUCUAUGUCGGUUUGAUCCAAUGGCUCACGUUCACUUGAGGGGACUAUAAAACCAGACCCCCUAGCCCCUGGAGGAGAGGAGGAGAAAUCAUUAUUCAGAGGUAGCCAUCAAAGUUAGGGUUUAGAGCUUCUCUCCCACAGAGAAUUAGAAUUAGCUACUCCCUAAUCCUUCAAGUUUAGAGGUUUGAUUAGAUAGCAAUUAGAGAAGUAGAGCACUACGCUCUGGAUUCGGAUCUUCGGUAAUAAAGAUUGGUAUUAUUCAUAUCUUUCUCUAAUUCUAUUGUUCUAAUUGCAUUAUGUCUCUAAUUAUUAUGAUCUUAGUUUGCUCUAGUUCUAUAUUUGAUAUAGUUCUAAUUGAUAAUGAGUUUAUGUAUAAGUUUGCAAAGCGCUUAGCUCUUGACGCGAGGGAGUUAGGUGAUAGAUCACAUGUAAGCGUGGUGCUUAGAUGUUAUUUAUCUGUAAAUGUAUCCUAUUGGCCGGGUCGUGUGGUAGUUCGCGAUAGUGACAGCUUCGUUGAUUCUUAUAUAGUCCACCCUCCGUUGAUAGGACAGGCAGAUCCGGUAUUGUGGAGUAAGUCAUGCGAUGUUCUGAUUUACUUUAUCAAUGUUCCUUAUACAUGAAUGAAGAGUCUUUUAUGCUAUAUAUGAUCUUGUAGAUAACUAGAGUAGAUUAUGACUUAGUAGUUAAUAGAUAACUUAGAAUCCAUUCUCUAGCUAAUCCGACAUCACCUACAUAUAUGAGGAGUAGUCUAUUUUCUAAUCGUUGUGUCAUCUAUCCCAUGAACUUAUAAUUCAUUAUCAUUAUCUUUAUGGUUUACCCCCUGCUAAAGUAAGUGACUGUGUGACGAGUUUCUCAUUAGUAAUCAUGUUCUUGUAUGUUUAUCUCUAGUCUAUGCCUUAAUAGAUUUUGCCCCCUUGAUUUAAUUCCUUCUUCUUGAGAUCCCUUGAGCAAAAUUAUAAAUAACGAUACCUGGAAUACUUAUCCUGGUGAAAUGCUACAAUGAGGUGUUUUAUCUGUGCGCUUGGGGAUAGAAUAGAUUAUUUUCUAGAGAGCCUUUACAUUUAUAAAUACCUUUGUACACUCUGGCGCCAUGCUAGGGAUGACAACCUAGUAUCUAAGUGGUGUUAGCUAGUGUCAACAAGCAUUUCUGGCGCCGUUGCCGGGGAAUUAUAGGAAUUAUACGAGUCUUAGGAAUAAGUCAAAAAAAGGGAACAAAAGGGUAAUAUUAAGGAAAGCCAGAAAAUCGGUCAAGGUUAUUCAUAUAAAAUAUUAGACUAGACUAUAGAGAAAUAAUUGCAUAAAACAGUUACUAAGUGAGAAAUCAUAACAAGGCACCGCUGCUUUGGCAGGUUCACCCUGUUGUUUUUCUAUGUUUAUAUUUUUAUAUAGGGUAUAACAGGAUUGACUUUGGGUACAUUCAACUCUUCAUCAUCAGAACCAAAGCAAUCAAGAGAAGAAGAAGCUAGCUACCAAUUGCUGAAGCUAUGGCACACAAGACCUUGCAAGAAUUCUCUGCUCCAAGCCUUGAGAACAUUCUAACUGGUCCAAGAUUUGCAGUAGAAGAAGGAAUACCUGAGUUUGAGCUCAAGUCAAGCCUCAUCAAUUUGGUGCAAGCUACACAAUUCAGUGGAAAGGCACAUGAAGAUGCCAGUGCACACUUGCAGAAUUUUCUAGAGAUUGGGAGCACAAUCCACAUCAAUGGAGUUGACAAAGACGUCAUACUGCUUCGCCUUUUUCCAUUCUCACAAGAAGGAAAAGCGAGGAAGUGGUUCUACACUCAUCAAGAUAAUAUCAACAACUGGACGAACUUGUCAGAUGCCUUUCUAUCAAAGUUUUUCCCUAUAGGCAAAACAACUGCCUUAAGAGGAAAUAUUGUCAGUUUCCAACAACAGAAGACAGAAGCCAUUUCAGAAGCAUGGGAGCGUUUUCAAGGAUAUAUAUCAGAUUGUCCUCACCAUGGAAUGGCCACAUGGUUACUUAUGCAGACCUUCUACCAUGGAUUAACCCAGAAGACUCGUGAGUGCCUAGAUGCAUCUGCUAAAGGAUCAUUCUUGGAGCUUACAACUGGAAAAGCAGAGAUACUUUUGGAUAAGAUAGCAGAAAACCAAAGCUGGUUCCAAGAUAAAGCUCAACAAUGUCAUCAAACUGAAGAAAUACCAGAAGAAGUAAAUGCAUUAUCAACUAAGAUGGAAAAUUUGCUCCAUUGGAUUGACCAAAGGGCCAAGUUCAAAGAAGAUCAAAGGGCCAUUGAGACAGCAUACAAAUAUCAACCAACUUCAAGUCAACCCAAUAGCAAAGGUAUGAAUUCAGGUAAUACUUUCAAGCAACUUUCAUUAAAAGAGAUAAUUGCUCAACAAACUAAAAUUAAUAAUGAAGUUAAACAAAGGCUAGAUACAAACGAAUCAUCUCUAAAAGUUAUACAUAAUAAAAUGGACUGCCUGUUGCUACAAACGAAUCAUCUCUAAAAGUUAUACAAAACACUCUUAAUAAAAGGGUAGAGCUUAAAUUAAUAAAGUUAGCUGCUGCACUGCGUGUUGCUACUAACCUUGAGCAGGUAAAGAAUAUAACUACUAGAGGAGGUAAAGCCACCAGAGAUCCACCAUACCCAAAAGAGAAACAAAGAACAUCAGCACCAGUGCAACCAGCAGUGAUAGAAGAAGAAAGCCCAGUUGAAGCAGAAGAUCUGCUACAACCACCAAGAACUGGAGAAAUGAGGAAAGAUUUUUACGACACCAACUAUUUGCCAUUUCCCAGAAGAAACAGAGGACUGCAGUCGGAUGAGCAGUUUGGUAAGUUUGUAGAGGUCAUUCAGAAAUUAUAUGUCAACAUACCUCUGCUCGAUGCCAUAUAGGUACCUACAUAUGCAAAGUACAUCAGAGAUAUUCUUAACAAGAAGAGACCACUGCCCACCACUGAGGUUAUCAAGCUGACAGAAGAAUGUAGUGCGGCCAUCCUUAACAAACCACCAAAGAAGAAGGAAGAUCCAGGAUGCCCCACUAUUGAUUGCUCGAUCGGAAACCAACACUUCAACAAUGCACUUUGUGAUCUCGGAGCAAGUGUCAGUGUGAUGCCAGCAUCAGUCUACAAAAAGCUUGAUCAUGCGACCCUAGAACCAACAUCAAUGUGCCUACAACUAGCGGAUCAAUCGGUUCGACACCCGUUGGGCAUCGCCGAGAACAUUCCAGUCAAGAUCAGAGAUUUCCUGGUGCCAGUAGACUUCGUAGUACUGGACAUGAGUCCUGACUCAAAAGUGUCCAUCAUCCUUGGAAGGCCAUUUCUGAGCACUGCCAAUGCCCACAUUGAUGUCGGAAAAGGAGAAAUCAAGUUCAACAUAAACGGUCAAGAAGAACACUUCACAUUCAAACCCAGACCAGAGAGAGACUCUACAGUAAAGGAAGUUCAUGAAGAACCACUGGAGACACCAUCUCUGGAGGAAGGAAACUCAGAAGAUUGAAAGAUUUGGAGGUCCAGCUUGGGGGACCUAAAAAUCCCAAACCCUCACCGGGUGGUAAAUCGGUAUUUAUCCGCAUUAUUAAUUUUCUCAUAUUUAAAUUCUUGCAUAAUUAAUUCUUGCAUUAGUCAUAUAUAUUCAUAGCAUGAUUAUAAUAAUCAAAAAGCCCCAUAUAAAUAAUAUUCAUGGCGUGUAACAACCCAUAUUUAUUAAUUAUUGUGGAGGCACAAAAAAAUAUUUUCCAUUAUCAUUUUAAUUAAGUUUCAAUUCUCAUAGAUUUUUCCUGCAUUAUAUUUUUCUUCUAGAAGCAUGACCCACACUCCUUGGGUCCCACAUGUCAUACACUUCACCUCACAUACAUCCCAUCAUAUAAUUUCAUCCACCAAUAUGUUUCCACUCACCUGACAUCUUUCCACCGUCCAACCACUACCAACACAACAUUAUUCUGCGUGAGAUCAAAGCAAGGAAGCAAGUGGAGGAGGCACACCCAGGAUGGGCAUCACAAGUGGGCGCCCGCCCACCUACCAAGGGCGCCCGCCCUGUCCCCUUUUCCUCCUAUAAAAGGCCACCUCCAGCUCCCCUUCUCUUCACACAAACACUCCAGAAAACCACACAAGCUUCAGUUUCCCGAGAAGGAGAUCUUGUAGUGAAGAGAAGAGAGUAGAGAGAAAGAGGAGAGUGGAAGGGAAGGUUGGAGUUCUUAUGAGAGAGUGAUUAUCACCUAGCAAGUAGUGAUCCCGUUGUCUAAGCGGAAGUAAAAAGUUGUUUAGGGGGAGGCUCUACCAAAAUAGAAACUUGUCUUGAACGAUUAACCCCUGGACUACUGACACUCUGGACAGCUGACCACUAACAUUUUAUCUCACAUUUUCCACUAGUUGUGUUUUUGCCAACUUUUGUUUGCAGGAUGUUUAAGAAGGUGAAGAAUGCAGGGAAGGCUCUCAAGAAUAUUGGUACAAGGAGUUCAACCCGACACUCCUCACAACCAUCAGAGAUGAGCGUCGACCCGACACCCACACAAGCUCCAUCAUCUUCAUCAGGUCAGCAAGUUAAGGUCCUUCUCAAGAUAGGAGACCUUGGACUGAAGACCCGAAGAGAGAAGGAAGUAUAUCAGCAAUUAAAGAACAAAGAUUUCAUUCACACCCCUACUAUCGAUCCAAUCCUACUACAAGAAACAGGUAUGGACACUGAAUUUGACUUAAUUUUUCAGAUGAUGGGUUGGACAAAUUUUUGGAAUAUAACUGAGCUGGGUUCUCGUCUUCUCACCCUCGAAUUUCUUUGCACUUUACAAUACUAUGAGGGGGAAUUGUUUUUCGGAUGUUCAAACAAGAAAUUAUGUUGUCUUGGAGAGAGCUAAGUGAUCAUCUUGGUUUCUCUUCAAGAUGCAUCCUAAACAUUGACUCCGAUUUACCCAACUUUGAGAGACACCAGUUUUGGAGAGAAAUAUCUAGAGAUAAUUUUUACAGUCAAGCCCGAACCACUGACAGGAACACCCCACUCUUAGGAUGUUCCACAAAUGGCUUGGGUACAAUCUUUUCUAUCGUGACGAUAUUGAGAAAGUAAGAGUAGGAGAUUUACAACUUUUAUAUGCUGCUAUUAGUAAAGUACCUACUUCACCUGUUACACUAUUAGUUUCACAUUGGCUUAGUAUACCUAGUCUGCAGGGACUAGUAGGAUGUACUUCACUUAUCACUCAUCUAGCCACUAAUCUUCACUUACUAGAAAACUCGUCACUGGACUUCAUAGAAGAAUUAAGAAUUUAUCAUGGCUAUGACACAUUUAGACAAGCUCGGAUGUUAAAGAAAGAGGGGAAUAUAAUGUAUAUGCUAUAUGAUGAUAAAGGCAAGAUUCGGUUACCUAACCCGAACCUUGGCCUCUACGUUGUUCAAAACUUUUUGAUUGAGAUUGCAGCAACACCAGUGAACCAGAGAACUCCACAGCGAGUGGCAUCUGAAAGGAUAACCACUCACCGAGAACGCACUUGGUAUGGAGCUGACCCAGGACCAGAAGAAGCAGCGCACCUGCAUUAUUGCGAUUACAACCCUCGAGUCCUUCGAGACCCAUGGGCUCGUCAUGCGCAACCACAAGAGCCAACAGAAGAGACAUGGCCGGAGAGCCAAGAUCACCAAUGGACAAACCCGCCUUUUCAUACGGGCAGGUACUCCACUGAUCCAUAUGGAGCUUCAGGAUCCAGACCUCCGCCCCAAUUUGAUGUAGGACGAUACUCCGAUGCCUCCUACGCCUUCACAAAUGACUACUAUCAAGAGGCCGGUGCUUUCUUCACUCGUACCGACAACACCCUCCUCGACAUCCAGAACACGCAAGCAGAACAUGGAAGACUCCUGGAAGAACAACAAAAAUGGAACCAGGACCAUGCCGCUGCAGUAGAAGAGCUGAGACAAGAUACAACAACAAUGAACGACAACAUCACAACCAUGAUGAGGUUCUGGAACAUCGGGUAAGACCGACGGCAACAUCCAGCUUGGGGGAGUUCCUCCCAAAUUUAUCAAGUAAGUUUUUAUUUGCUCUUCUUAUUUAUUCUAUUCUAUUUUAGUAUUUUAUCUUAAAAGGAAAAACUUAGAAAACCAAAUAAAUAUUUUCUUGUUUUUAUUCACUGCACUUUAAUAAACAUGAAAACAAAAUAAAAAGAGUGUGUAGAUAAGUGUGCUUUAUUUUUCUGCUAAGUUUAAUCUCUAGAAAAAAAUAAAAAGACCAAAAAAAAAUAUGCAUGAUGGAAAUGAUGAACAGUUGCUCUGUUUGCUUACUUACAAGUACCUAGCUUUUAUAUUAGAGUUCUUCCAGGAAUUAUUAAAACUGAAAUUACUAUCUUUGGGAAGCAUAAAAACUAAAGUCUAGGUAAGAGAAAGGCAUGAUAUAAAGUUGAGCUACUGUUUAUCUUGUUCCUACUACACUAAGUUCUGAAGAUUUAUUUUGAAAACUUACAAAUCGCAUGAUAAGUUCCUAGCAUAACAAACUACCUACCACAGCCAUACUCGCUAUAACAUCUUUUACUAUAUUCACAUUGAGUUUGAUCAAGCUGUGUAGACCCUUAGGAGCUUUUCAUGUGGUUAAAUUAAGAUAUUCACUUGCACACAUCUACCACAGCAUUCAUCACCAAUCAUUAAAAUUGCUAAAAAUAUUUUCACUCACUGUCCCGAAUAUUGUUAUUCUCUCUCUAAAAAGAUUCAAUGCAGAAGAGGCAUGGGUUAUGCAAAAAUAUACGAGGAAAUAAAAAGGGGCAAGUGCCCGGAACCUCGAUAAAGAAAGAAAAAGAGUGAGACGAGAGGUAAAAAUGGACAAGUGUCCGAAGUAGAAUUAGGGGUACAAAGAUGCCCACUUGAGCGGAAAAAAAUGGAAAAGUGUCCGACAGUAGAAUUAGGGGUAUCUACUACCCACCUGAAAAAAAAGAGAUAGCCCAUGUUCUCCCAAAGCAAAGAUCAAAGAAGAGAAGAGAUAGCAAUAUGAGGAGCAAUGAGAAGUAAGUUAUCACUUAUGCAUUUUCAUCAUCACGAUCAUUUACUCCAUCAC